rnacentral:lncRNA from 1 species
GAGAGAGAGAGAGAGAGAGAGAGAGAGAGAGAGAGAGAGAGAGUUGUUCUUAUUCUCUGAAGGAGUAAAAUGUAUACUGUAACUUAUGUUGCAUCUUCAGUCACACCCCUUUAUCUGGUUAUCUGCUUGUUCCUUAAUUUGUUAUAUUAGUCUAAAGAUCGAGAAAUAGUGUUGUUAUAUAUGUAGUUUUGUCUUUGCCUGAGCACGGUAUUUGAUAGUUAGAAAUGCAUUAUGCAUGCUAUCAAUUUAUCAACAAAAAAUGGUACCAAAAUCAAGCGAGAAAAACCAAAAUAGUAUCUGUCCUACUUGAACAAUUGGAGAACCUACCUCUUUUUUCUGGGUAGCAUCAUAUAUAUAUUUUGUAGAUAGAAACAUAAAUAAGUUUCUGAUAAUUAUCGAUAUUUUCUCUGCAAUAGGAACCCGCAUGCGUGGUCGAAUUUGAAUCCUAGACUCAAAUUCUUACGAAUAAAUUUACAUGCAUACUUAUAGCUAGGUAUGAUCAAACGUAUGAACAUCUUUUGAAUAAAAAUAGAUAAUUUCAUUAUUUCAGGGUAGUGCUAGAGGGCCUUAAUGAGGUUUAAGAUUUAUGGUCUUAAUCCUAUAUAUGUGGCAUAGACACAUCAUCAAUUUAAUAAAUCAUGUCAUUUCAUUCUUAGGUAAAAAUACAUUUCUAACCUUAAUAAUUAAUAGAUGCUACAUACCAAUAUGAAAUAUUUUUUACCUUUUUAAUAUAUAUCGUAUAUACCAAAUUUAGUUAAUUUAUUAAUAAUAAUGACCAAAUUAAUAAUCAUACCAAAUUAAGCUUUUAUACCAUAAAUCAAUUUUAGAAAUUUCUUAAAAUUUUCUUCUAUAUAUCUUUGUGAAUCGAAAUAUAGUUCUAUUUUAAUAUUUUAUUUUUGCAGUUUAAAAUUAUGAUAUCUAUAUAUAAGCCAUAUUAUGUAUCGAAUUUUUAAAUAAAAUAAAAAAUAGAAAAAUCUCUAUCGAAUUUGUUUUGAAUGAUUACGCGCGCGUGUGUGUGUAUAUAUUAUUUUCGAUGAAUUAUAUAUAUAUAUAUAUGUGAAAAAAAAUUUCCUGGACGAAAUUGUUUUUUCUUGGACAAACUAUAUAUGUGUAUAUAUAUAUCAUAAGAAUUCGUAUUUUUAACAAGUAUAUUCUUAGAAAUAUAUGUAUUUUAACACUAUAUGUUACGUUAAAUCUAAGCAUGAUAGUGAUAAAAAGAAAACGAGAAAGAAAAUGUUAGAAAUAUAUAUUUUUAAUUAUAGAAGAAAGACAAAUCAAUUUUUUUCUAUUAAUAAAAAGAAAAAAUAAUCUAGAGCCAUUGGAUUUGGAUGGAUAAGAUUGUAUUUUUGCUUAAGAACAACAUGGCAUAAUCUUUUUAAUUGGUGAUAUGUCUAGAUAACAUAACAUGUCAUAUAAGAUUAAUGUCAUAAAUCUUAGGUUUUAUUAAGGCCAAGAAUCAUUUUCCUUUCAUUAUUUAUCUGCGGCCAAAAAAACACUUGCAUCAGCUAGCGUCUUGCGCCGAAACCAAUUUGUAAGUGGUAUAUCGUCCAACAUCAAAUCAUGAAAUUAAGAUCAGUUGAAUCAAAUCAUCUUACCGAUCAAUCAUAUAAAGAGUAAUUUGUAUCUCAAUAAUAUACCAUCAGAUCGAUAAGGUCUCCCUUUCAGCUAGUAAACAUGUAGAGAAUCUUUGUGUUGUUUAGGUACGUGUGAACUACAUAUACUAUGUAUCUGAAUCAAUGGUUGAGCUAGCAGAAACAUAUUCAUUAUUCUUGUGAAGGCAAUUCGAACAAAUCCAAGAAACGAUAGGGAAAAUACAUAUAGGGAAUUUGUAUUCAGUCAGAUCGAGUAUGAUAAUACCAUAUAUCAUCAUAUCGAAUGGAUCAAACUUGGAUCAGAGUUGAGAAGCACAUAAUAUUUUAUGAUCACGAGGCAAGCUACGUAUGCAGUUUAUGGUUCACUCCUGUACGUGUUGGCCCUGUUGAGGCUGCAACACAUAUUGAUUGGGACUUUUGUCAAGAAAAUUAUCUUUUAAAUCCUUGUUUGUCACCAAUAGAGUGUGCGUCCGAAUAUGCGUAGUUUUCAGACUAGUGUGCCUCAAUAUUUGAGGGACCAUAAUAUAUAUCAGCAUGCAUGAGCUCCAUGACUACCAUAUAUUGGCAUUUGGAUCAAAUCAUAUCACAUAAGCAUCACAGUUUUCUUCACUGGCAAAGGCCCCAACCUCACUCUCUCUUUAGAUCGAUCUCGAUCUCUUGCCCUAGAUACGUUAUCGGCAACACACACACACACACAUAUACAUACAUAUACAUACAUAUAUAUAUAUAUAUAUGUAAUAAUGUAAAUAAUAAUAAAAAUAACACUUCCCUCCUCCUGAUCAACUCGCCUAUCAAUCAUUUGAACUUCAUCGUCGUUUAGGGUUGUUUUUUUUUUUUUUUUUUUUUUUUCAGUAUCAUCCUUGUACAAAAUCAUCUAAAUCAGAAACACAAUGGGAAACAGAAAAAUCGGAAAAAAGUAGAAACAAGAGGUACCUAGCUAAGCUAAGCAGUUUCUGAUCAAGCAGUUCAUUUAUCUGUAUCGAUCCCCAGGUUAGCUAGCUCCCAGACAUUUAUCUGUAUCCCCGUCAGUUCUACCCUGAGGCGCUGCAGUGGUCCAUGGUAUAUGCAUGUAUGUAUGAUCCCAUCGAUCUUUUCUUUUUUCUGUUUGAUCAAAUUUGAAAUUCAAACUACUUCACCAAUUGCAAAAGUGAAACAAGAUCGCUUGCACGUCCUUGUCCUCAAAUUUUGAAGGGUAUACAUUACGUUCUUUAAAUCGAAGAUACCCGUAUCACAUACACUUCACCAUCCCAGAUCAGAGCUUGCAAAUAUGUAGUGAAUCAUCUGUAUAGUGCCUUUAGGUCAAAGUUAUAUAGGUUGGUUUAUUUCUUCUGUAGAAGUAUGUUUAUAUUCUUUUGGGUAUGAUGAACAAAAUAUUGGGUGCUUAUUCGUAAUAUAUAAUCUUUCAUAUAAAGUUUAUAAUUAAAUUCAGUUUACCCCAUGAGGUUUGGGAGUAACUUCAUGUUAAUCCCUAUACUUUCAAUUUCAUCAGUUUACCCCUCAAACUUUUGAAUUUUCCUCAAGCGUGAUCAAAUGUCCUAUAUUCUGUCCAAAUCGGAUGUUAGCUGCUGAUAAUUUUAACCUUAACUGUGAGGCCAGUAUCUAGAAUUUGGGCAAAUCGGACAUUAUAUGUCCAAAUCGGACAUUAACUGCUGAUAAUUAAAGGUCAAUUCAAACGGAAUAUGAGAAUUUGGGCACGGCAGACAGAAAUUAAAGAGUUCAAAGGGUAAACUGAUGAAAAUAAAAGUGUAGGGACUAACAUGAAGUCACCCCCAAACCACAAGGGGAUAAACUGAAUUUAAUUCUAAAGUUUAAAUGAUGAAUGAUCAAAAUGAUCACUAAACAAUUUGUGCUGUAAGAACUACUUCUGGAGGCAACAGCAGCCAUGUUAAUCCAUCUUCUAUUCCUCUAUUCCUCUUGAUCAUAUUGAGAAAAUAUGAUGGAUUGAAUGAUUAAUCCAGGAGGAGGGAAUAGCUAGGGUUAGGUAUAUGAGAGUUGCCAUAGUUGCUGUUGUUUGGGCUUAAUCUUCUUGAAGGUUUUAGACUUUUUAUUGGGAUCAAGCCCGACUGAUUGCCUUAUAUUUUAUUAUUGUUUUGGUCGAGCAAACCCUAACUGGUUGCCUUAUAUUUGCUGUAGUGUUUCAAGCACAACAAAAUCGUCAAAGUUAUAGGACUCUGAAAUGGAUCAAAACGUACUGAGAGAUUAAAGUGACGAUUGAAUCAUUAUUAAUAGACUACAUUCUUGGCUAUUAGAUACAUCAAACAUUUUAAUUAGUACCACCAAAAAGUUUCUUGAGUUUCUGAACCUGAGCAAGAUCAAGCAAAGUAGUCUUUGCUACGAUAUCAGAAGACAAAUCAUUCUUAAACAGUGAUGUGUCCAUUAGCUGCACGGUUGGGCUCUCACUACUGAAAGCAGCAUAUAUGACCGCCGGAGUGUUACCUUGAUUCACAAAGAAGUGAUACAAUCCUUGUGGAAGAACCAUAGUGUCACCCUUGGUCAAGGGCUUUUGGUAAACCUUGCUGUUCGAGGCAAUGAACCCGCCGAUUAUGUUACUUCCUUCUGCAACAACCACCAACUCGGUUGCUCCGGGGUGAGCGUGGAUGGGAACAACGCCGCCAACUUCCACAUCCGCGCGGCCCAAGGAAACGCCGAGGCCAUUGAUACCGGAGUAGUUAAAAGCAAAUGCAGCUGAGAAACCAAACUUGAACACGUUUGAAGUGUUAGAAGGCACCCCAAGGCCAGAGUGGAUGAAAUCGUCUACUGUGACCUUAGCAGGGUCUUUGCAUGCGUAGCCUACAGGGCUCUUGGGAGCUGCAUAGUCUGCAACGCAGAAGUCUUGGACGUGUGAAGCAUAGGAACAUGAAACAAUGAGAGAAGCCACGAAGAAGAAUACAGGGGAAUUCAUGGUGGUAUAUAUAUGUAAAAUGGAAGUUGGUGAAUCUGAUUUGUGUAUUCUUCUCCGAUUCUAGGGAGUAUUAUAUAGCACGUACAGUAACGCUAUUCAACGAAAGAAACAACAAUUUCAAAAGAAAAAGGAAACAAAUAACAAGAAUUGACCAAAUUUGAAGUUCAAAAUUUCUUGGGCAUGUCUGAAUGAAACGAAUUCCAUUUUAAGUAAGGAAAUUAGUUAAUCCUUUCGAAAAACAUAAGGAAAUUAGUUAAUAUCGAAAUAAAUGGAUUUUAUCGCUGGAUCAGAUCAUUUCUUUUGUCUCUCAUUCUAUCAGUUUCAAUUGAUUUUAAUUUUGAUGGCGUUACAAGCAACAAUCAAGGAUUUCGAUACUGUCAUGGAGAAUAAUAAGAGAAGGAAAUUUAUUCUAAUAAUUCCCUUUUUAGCAAGGGAUUAAAAUUCGAUAACAAUUACGUGAAACAUAAUUUAAAUAAUAAAGAGUAUAGGAGAAACGAAUGAAGGAGAAAUGAAUGGUUAUCUAUUUUCUCUUUGGUUGCCUUAAGACGCUUGUCCUUAUAAAUUCUUCUUUUUUUUCUUUUUUUCUUUUUUUGAAAAAAGAAAAACAUUAGAUCGAGAUAGGCUUGUGGUCAGUCAAGCUUGCGCUUUCUAUCUCUAAACUGGGCCUAACGAGCUUAUUGGUUAUUUUGGGCUUUUAUGAUCUUAAUGGCCUUAUAACCUCUUGAGCCCGCAGCCAGUUCUAUUUGGGCCCAGAGCUUGCUGAUUCUUUCUAGCGAUUUAGCGAAUUUCCUGCGCUGGUGAAUCAUGCACUUCCUUACAGAAGGCUCAUCCAUAAAUUCCCUGCAAAGCAAGACAAAUAUUCUACUAUACACGGCGUAUAAGUACACAGUACAAUUUAGUCGCUCAUAACAAUUUAUUUUUUGUGUGGAGACCACUAUCGAUGUGUAUUAUGUUAUCGUUAUAACAUUGAUAUAAGUAUUUGUAGAUACACAUUAUAUGUUCGAACUUGUGUGGGAUUUAUCCCACAUAGAUGAAGAAUCAAAAGUUGUAGUCUUUAUAAGGUAUUAUCCUUGUGACUUAUUGAUUGGGCUUGGUGGGAUUUUCUGUUGGGCUUUCCAAUAGAACAUAAAAUAUAUUUAUAUAAAUGACUCCGGAGCCGUUCUAAAGAGGACGUCCACACUCCACCGUACGGCGUCGGCGAGGGUGCGCCUCCACUCCAGCGGACUCCAACAGCGUCCCCGACCACUUUCCUUAAGGGCUGUGCGGACGUCCGCCUCUGAUCCUGACUGUAUAUGACUCUAUUGAUUAAAAUAUGUUUUUAAUUUCUGAAAUAUUAUUUAGAGUUUUUGGAAAUUAAAAUCGGAUAAGACCAAAAUAAUUGUUGGAAAACAGUUACAACUGUAUGGAUAGAUGCAACUGUUCGAUUUUGACUUUAUAUAUAGGACGACAUUGUUGUCGUCGUUCCCAUAAGAGACAUCGCUCUCUUCUUCUUCUUCUCAUGUUCUUAUUUCAGAAAAGCAUACUGUAAAUUUGCCAGGGUCAAGUUCUUGUGCAAUAACUUGUACCAGAUAGUUGUAUCCUCAAGAUAGACGUCCGAAACUGCAGCACAAGUGGGGGCGAAUUUCUAUCUUAGGUCACUGCAUAACAGGCCUCUCUCUGAUCAAGUAAGUGAAUUUCAAUUUCGUUUUAUUGUUGUUUGUGAUUUCAAUUUGAUUAUUGUGAUAUAUAUNNNNNNNNNNNNNNNNNNNNAUUAGUGUAUAUAUAUAUAUAUAUAUAUAUAUAUAUAUAUAUAUAUUGUUUGGGUUUGAAGAUAUUGGAUUGGAACUAACAUUAUAUACUGAAGAUAUAUACAACUACAAGAUAUUGAUUUCAUUGACGAAAUUAUACACACAAACAUUGAAGUUUUCGGAUAUUCUCUAAUUUGCAUCUAAUUACUUAUAAUAUUUAAGUGCCGGCUUCAGGAAAUAUAACCGUAGUCGAAGUUCACACUCGACCUCCAUAAUUAUAUUUGCAAAGUAGAGGAAUUUGUUCACUGUUGUACAGGAUUGGAUUAAAAAUUUAAGAGUGGAUUGUGAUGCCAGCAUAAUUAAACAAGGACGACUGGAUAUGGUUUAAAGGGUCAUCGGAUAUAGGUCCAUCACAUGUGUCAAAUCAAAGUUCAUCACCUUAUGGAACACACAGGAUAAGCAACUCUCCCUAUCUAGCUCCUCAUCCUCUUCUUCUUCUAGCUUCCUCCAUCCGAAGCAUAUGCAUGACUCGGAAUGGAUCAAAACUAUAAGGCUUUAUUUUCUUCUUAUCCCUUCAAGAAAAUGAUUUCUAGUUCCGUUAAGGAAAGAAUCAUAUCCCUAUCGAUAUGAAUUUUGUGUGACUUCUAUGUCAAAUAAUGACAGCUUAUUCUGUCUACAUGUCUUCCAUCUUGUGAUGGAGAACUAGCAAAUAUAAAUUUGUUGAUAAACAAAGACUGUCUUCUAGGCUUCCGGCCUUGGUUACGUUGUUAAUCUUUUCCCCGUUUUGUUAUAUGAAUUUCUAGAUUCCACUAUCGUACAAAUUAAUAAAACAAUAUCUUUUCACAACCAAUUCAUGAAAGAUUAGUUAUUAUGUAGUUUAAGUCGUUGUAAUGACUAUUAUAUGUCGGUGAAACUUAAAACACGAUAUAGAACAGUAUAGAUUGAGAGAGCUGCAGCCGAAGACCGGAGUUCGAGCCUUCUGGAUGAUCUUUUCAGGUUGAUCAAACAAACCAAAGUUGUGUACGCAACAUGUAAUCAAAAGGAGACGUGAACUGGUAAGUUUGGUCAAUUGAUCAAGAAAGCUGCUGAACCUCCCAUAUUUUCCAUUACUCCAUUCCUAUGGUGGUUGGUUGGCUUUGAUCCAAUUGCAACAGGCCAAGACGCUGGUCGGGUCCCAAUUAACAUAACCAACAAAAGCAUGACAUAGAGAGAUUGAGCCAAGUAUCCAACUUCUCCUUUAAGGAAAACUUCACAUUUGAGAUUGGUUGGGAAAAUGGUAGGUGCUGCUCGACUUCUGCAACACAUUUUUCAGUUCCUUUGUCAACAAAAUUGAUAGCAGAAACUAGUUAUAGAUCGAGAUGGAGACUCGUGGAGGUGGAGUUGGUUGUAGUUAAACUAGAAUGUUAUGCAUCUUCAAAACUUUCAUUGUCAAUUAGGAAAAUAAGUUGAGCAGUUGAUCAUAUAACUAAUCAAGAAUAGAGAAAUUUAUGAACACGUACAGAUCAUCCUAAUCAGAGAGAUUAGAUUGGGAGUUGGUUUAAGUUUCAAUUAGUAUACCUAAUGACUAAAAUAGUUGUGAAGUCAAACAACAAAUCGAAAUGGAUGAUUUUCUGUUUCAGCUAGAAUUUUGUUAAAGUGCUGCACAUACGUCAAUAUCAUUAGGAUUCAACGUUUUGCCAUAUUCAACCGUUUUCGGCUUUCUGGUUUAUGGCCCCAAUUGAUUUUUUAACGUCUUUGAUUAAAAUCUGCUGGAAACCUCUUUUGAUUUUGGAAUAGCUUGUAUGAAUAAUGGGCGGCACCAAAGUUCAAAUGCAUGAUGCUGCCAUGGAUGUGGAUGUGCAAGUUGAUGUUUUGCAUACUGGAUAAGUAUGCCCUACCAAAAUAUGUGUACAUGAAAAAUAUAAUGUUAAGAUUAGAUAUAAAAUAUGUUAAGUUGUUCGAUUGUUCGUUUAAUAUCAAUUGUAGUCAAUGAUUUAACUAAACAGUCAUGAACUGUUUAGAAUAUAUGUGAUUGAAAUUUUAGACUGUCCGUACGUACUGUCUUCAUCAAAAGCACGGAAUUGAUGUUGAUCGACUCCUUUUAUAGUAAAAGACUUCUAGUAGUUGGCCAAACUAGAUUAUGAGGAUACAUAACAAGGGGGUGAAGCGAUAAACAUUGAGAUUUUGAUGCCUAGCUAGUGGAAGUAAUCAUACACAUCACGUUGGUGUAAUGUACAAGACUUAUCGUAUCACAUUGUAUAUGACUCGCAAGAUGGAUAAUUGAAACUGUGACUAUCAUGCACAUUACAAUUUGAUCUGAUAACUAUGCCUCGUCAUUUAUAGUCAUUGUUAGGCAAAUCAGAAUAAAGAUCUAAUAAAUUAGCCGACCAAAAUUGAAAACUAAGAAAUGCAUGCAUGCAUAGGCUGCUUAAGAACCAAAAUUCAAAUAUCUUCUAGAUGAAGCCAUGCAAUUAUCGUUUCUAAAUUCAUAUCUGUUUGUUUUUGCUUCCAAAUUUUUAUGCACAAUAACAGAUACUUCACUCUCAAAAUUCCAUCAAAUCAAAAUUAAUUAGCUCUCACCAUGGAUAUGUUGCUUAGCCUUCGAGGGUUUAGGUCGACAACGAUAUAACGAAAACGAGAACGAGAGUGCUUGCUUGAGACAGCAGCACCUUAUCAUCAACCUUUGCACCAGCUGCUAGCUGGGUUUUCCUUUUCCCUUCAUCCAAGCAAUUGAAAACUAAGAUAAUAUAUAUGGAGCCCUCAUACAGGACCUACAAGAACCCAGAAAGGCAAGGAAGUUUGGAUAAUUACCAAACAAAAACCCAUCCACAAUAGGCCCUAGUUUUAUUCCAAAUUAACUUUAGCCAAUCUCUUCACCUCCUUUUGUUCGGUAAACCUUAAACGAUUGGUAUUCGCUGCUCUUUAUCUUCCAAUUAGAGUCGUCGUUAUUGUUUCAUCGUCUGCAUGAUAGCAAUAUGAAGCUUUUGUCUCAUGUGUUAUUAAGGGUCCCCAGAUCAUAUCUACGAAUAACAACUAGGGCCAAUGGAUUUGGCCAAAGAAAGAAAAGGUCAAAAGGCUCGGCCAACUGGGAAUUAUUAUAUAAAUCUGCAGAAGAAACUAGCUAGCUGAUGUGGUAUAUCUUCAUCGAUUCUACUUGUGCAAAUCUGGGGAAAGCCAGAUUUGAUGGCUUCGAUCUACUUGUCGAUAUGAAGAAUCAAGUGCACCCUGCAGGCUGCAGCACUCGUAAAAGAUGGUUAGGGUGUUGCUUAAAGGGUUUGAAAUUACAAUUAUUGAUAACAUCAAACGUGACGUUCUCAAUUUCAUGCGACAGUAUAGAUGGCUCAGCAGGCCCGCAGAAGAGAGCGAUGGAUUUGGAUGGCAAACCAUCAUCAUCAUUAUCAUCGUCUUCUAAUCGUUAUUAUCCAUAAUCUUAGCUUUAAUAUGGUCGAGUGGAGAUGUUGUAUUACACGUACACUGAGACGUACUACUUCAUCGAUCUUAGCCAAAUGUCAAGAGAGAGAUAUACAUGCAUAUUGGCCAAUCCAGGCGGCUCCCUUGUGUUACAGAAUGCUGCAAUUAUAUAUAUAGUCAAGCAAAAUGAUUAGCCGUAUAAAUUGAACAAAAAUUAGUUGAAACACGUCGUGAUUGCAUGUAUAAUUGUACGAGAAUGCUACUCUUAGGAGUAUAUAUCGUAUAUCAAUCAUACAAACCGUAUUACAUCACACCAAGUUUGUUUUAUAUUAUAAACAUAUAUUUAUUAAUCAACUUUUGGAUUUAUGUUUUCAUAAAAUGUUGAGUGCACGAGACAAAUGAAAGAAAUAAAAGACUAAUGAAAGCUUGACCUUUGAAAUUAACAAAUCAAAAUGGGUAAUGCAAUAGUAUGAAACUAUGGAUGUACAACAAAAGAAUAUUUGCGGACCCUCCUUAUUUUAGCUUUUUGCUUGAAAAUGAAUUAAGUUGCAUGGAAACGAACAAACCCAGCCAUCUCACCACUUUUGGAACCGAUCUUUUUCUUUUCUUGAAGGAUUUAAUUUGUUAGGUUUGGUACUUUUGGUUUAUUGGUUAAUUACUUGUUUCAUGUUUCAUGUUUACGAUUAUUAGGUACAAGUGCAACCGAUAAAAGAGUAAAGAGUUGUAGUGUUUUCCUCACUAAUCGAACCAAAUAAUUUAACAAAGCAGCUGUAAAUUCUUAAUGUUAACAAAUUAGGCAGAGAACUUUGAUAUACUUUUCUUUUUUCGUUUAGUAAAUACACAACUUUUAGCAUGCGUCACAUUUCUUUGGAGUUCUAGAAGUCUAGAACUUAUAUUUAUAUAGUCGUGGUUAAGUUCAUCUUAAUCUUAAGGAAAACAUGCAUGAAUAGUACUUGAGGAGAAACAAAGAUGCAUCUAUUCUAUCUAAUCACGGUCUCUAGUUGAAUUGGCCGGUUAGAGGAGGACAAACAUUAUUUUCACGGAUCACUUUCUGAAAAUCUAAUGCCUAAAGACUUAAUCACAAGCAAAGUAUAUCGAUCCAUGAAAAUUAUGUCUUAUCAGCUCUUUAAUCUAACCUGCCUCAUUUUUAUUUAUUUAUUUUAACAAGUCCUCGCUUAUGGUAGUGGAUUCCUUAGCCAAAUCAUCAUGUCUUUCAAGUAAAUUGACUGUUCAUCAAAUAAUUCGUUAAAACAUUCGCAUCCAUUCGUUUUCAUGUCAAACCAACUACGGAAAUUAUAACUCGUUUCAUUUUAAAAUAAAUGUGUCGGAUUUUGGGUUUCAAAAUCUUUAACCAUAUUGAGGAAGCAACAAGUCCAACAACAACAUCCGUCACUACGGAAUCAACUUUUAAAUCAUUUCAAUUAACUUGGAGGCAAACACAAAUCAUAACCUUAUAUUUCAAAAUUAAGCCGGUGACAUUUCCUCGCUACCUAUAAGUUGAGUCGCAAGUGAUAAAAUGGACGUGUGAAGAGCUUGAGUACGUGUUGUGCAUGUCUCUGUGUCACCAUGAGAAUCAAAUGAGUAUUCAAAUAAUGAAAGUUAAGCUUUGAAUUUAAUUAAUCUUGAUUGUUGAUGAAUCAAGUCCUUUGUGCCGAUUUAAUUAUUUAGAUGCAUUAUACAUACUGUAAUCCUAUAUAUAGUUAAUGACCUGCAUGAAAUAAAUAUAAUGAUCCUGAAAUUGGACCGAUCUCGAGGUAGCUCAAGGAAGAUAUUGAAAAGAAUGAACAAGUUUGAAUUUAUACUUAUAAUUGUUUUUGUUUAGAAUUAUAGACUUAUUGUACUACGCUCGACUUGUAUACUCAGUGGUAGGUCACUAGUCACCUUAUCAUCAAACUUCCAUAAUAAUUUCUUUCUUUUCUCUUUGGGAAAUUUCUCUUCUGAUUGCUUCGUUAGGCCAUUCGAAUAGACAUCAAGAUCAAAAGCCAACCACCUUGAUGCGUUUUAUGUCCUAACGUUUAGGAAGAGGAAUGCUGUUUUUUGACUACUAUUGAUUGUUGUAGGCACCACCAAAUAUGCUUCUCACCAUCCAUGAUUCAAAAUCGUGUACAUUCACAUACACACAAGCGCAUUUGGAUUACUAUAUCAAUAACUUUAUAAGAAUACGAGUAAAUUUAUCUAUUAAUCGAGAUUGUUGAAGAUGUAAUUUUGAUGACAAUAGAAAGGUUAUAUGAAACAAUAAGCAAGACGGACCAAACGUGAAGGAUUUUACAUGCAAAUGGUUGAAAUGAAAAUAAAGUUUAUUGAUCAAUAUUCCUAAACUAGAAUUCAUGAGAAUAUUUCAUAUCCAUAUUUCUCAUAAUAAACGAAAAAACAAAAAGAUCCUUAUCUUAAAUGAAAUCCAAACUUCUAUAAUUGAGUUAUACAACUAAUUAAGGAAGCUUCUUCAAUAUCAAAAAUAUAUGGUGCUUUAUUUUCUUUUCUACCGCCUCUUAUCAAAAACAGAUUCCCUUGCCGGCAUGGACAAUCACAUUGCUUGGCUUUCUUAUAUAUUUUAAAUAAAGCAUAGCUCACAAUUGAUGGAUCAUUUCGUUUUCCUUUUAUGUCAACUAAAAUAGACGCAUCAUUUAACAAUUUGAGUGGCAUGCAAUAACUCUUGAAAUGCCAUAUUGCCAAAAUCACUUAUUUUAUUUUCUUAAAAAGAACUUUGAGUCAACUAUAUAUACGUAGCUAGAAGGAUAAGUUCCAACAAUUCGAUCCCAUUUUGCAUGAUUUUCUUCCUAAGAACUUUGGAUUAUAAACAGACCAAUGAUUCAAUUAGUUUAUUAAGUAUUAUGAGCAACAUAGCGACUGGUUUUGGACAUAACUAAAAUAUAUGAGCUCGUUAAUAACAUGAAUGUUUCUUUACAAAUCUUCAUGUAAGACCGAAGUGAAACGCAAUCCAUAUUCUAUCCAAAAAAGAGGCAACCAAUUUGGUCACUCUUUUUCCUUGCAUCAAGCAGAGUAGCAGAUCAAUCAUUGUCUUAAACAAAUAAAGCUCCUUCCUUGAUAAUAGACUACCACUUAUGUACCAAGGCCCGGAUCAGUAGGCUUAAUCUUUGAAUUGCUCAGUUACGUGUGACAGAGGUAAUAGACCAUGAAUGAAUAAUUUAUGAAGUCCUAUUUGGUCUAGGACUUUUAGCAUUCAGUAGACUUUUAAGUUUUAACAUUCAUUCCUAUUUGGUCUAGGAAGUCCUCUCUUGUAUGGUUACUAAUCCUUUUGGAAAAAAAGUUAUUAUUUUUAAAUUUUAUUCUAGAAUGGAUUUGACGUUUAAAACUAACAACUUUGAUUCGCACCCGAAUAAAAUUUCAACGUUUAACGUUAGAGUAUUGAUUUGUAAAGUCAUCCCGAUACUAAGGCUUAGUUUGGUAUUGUGGUUUAAAAACUUAAUUUUUUAAAAACUCAGUUUUAAAUAAGCAACUCCCAACCUGCUUUCUAAAAUCGUGGUUAUUUAAGCUAAAAAGUUUUAGAUAAGCACGUUUUAAAAUUUUAUCAAACAAAAAAUCUAUCUAAAAUAGUGAUUAUAAGUGAUUUUAAUCCCCAAAACUCAAUACCAACAUAAUGCAACAGAUUCAUACUGAGGUUUGACAUGCAACUUAAUGGAAAGAUAACUCGGUGGCCACGUUUAGUUUACCUAAGUAGUUGAAACACCAACACAUUUCUCUUAUCAUUACGAGCAACCACAGCUAAACCGUGAAUCAGAGAUCUAUCAUUGUAAUCUCCAUCAACUACAAGAUUAAGUCUAAUUUUAGCAAAAAUGUAAAUACUCAGAAAGGGGGAAAAUACUAUUUUCAACAUAGGUAGAAUUUCUUUAUCCUCGUUUGGUCUGGUGAACUUGAACAACCAAUUCCUUUAGUUCUGUUUUCUGGUUCCUUGUAUUUUAUCUUAAAUCAUUUCAGUUUUUUGACAUGAUUAUCGUUUUGGUAAUUUCUGAAGAAAAGUAUACACUUCUGUUACGGACCGGUAGAGAGACCUCCACUUGGAAUUUGACUGUACUCUGCAAGAGCAGAUUUCUUUUCUUUUGGUUCAUCAAGAUUGCCACCCCAAAACGAGAAGUGGGACCUUUCCGUUGCAUAGUUACAUGACUUACAUCCCUGAGUCUCUAUAAAGCAGUUGUGGAGCUACUCCUUCUCUCAGCAACUAAACUAAACUAAACCAAACCAAACUCUCUCUCAAAUUCUCCACCUUCAACUCUGCCAUUCCUCUCUUUUAUUUUUUAAAUAUCAAAAGCAUCAAAAGGAAAGCGUGUGUGUGCAAAAACCAAAACCGAAUCCCCAUACAUAUAAUAUUCAAGUCCCAAGUGAGAGAAGAAGCCAAAUUCAGAGUUCAUUGCUUUGAGACAGGCUUUUACCUGGGUUCUCCCUCAAACAAUGUGGAACGUCAACAUGUGGAGGACCAUGUUCUUCCUACUGUUUCUGGUUUCAUGGCUCUCCUCUGCUUUGGCCUCUGUUGGUUAUGACCACAGAGCUAUUAUAGUAAAUGGAAAGAGAAGGAUUCUCAUUUCUGGGUCUAUUCACUACCCCAGAAGCACACCUGAGGUACUUUACUACCAAUGCAGUUCUUAUGUAAAUUGGGUUUUCAAAAUAAUUUCAGAAUUCCUGUCAGUAUUUUUAAAGCUCAAGUUUAUUGAUGUUUUGGGUUUUGCAGAUGUGGCCGGAUUUGCUUCAGAAGGCCAAAGAUGGAGGAUUGGAUGUGAUUCAGACAUAUGUGUUCUGGAAUGGCCAUGAACCAAGCCCAGGAAAAGUAAUAUUCAAAAGCAUUCAGUUUUCUGCUUUCCCCUGCAAAUUAUCUAUGUUUUUUAUACUUACUGGCAGCUUUACUUGUUUUUCACAAUUUCAGUAUUACUUUGAGGAUAGAUAUGAUCUUGUCAAAUUCAUCAAGCUGGCACAGCAACAUGGUCUAUUUGUUCAUCUCCGGAUUGGUCCAUAUAUUUGUGCUGAAUGGAACUUUGGGUAAAAAUAUUAAGCACCCAGAUAUUUCUCAAAGAUUAUGUCUUUUUCAUGUAUGUAAAUAUGACUAUAUUCAUGACUCUGUUUUUGCUUUGUUUCUGAAACAGAGGAUUCCCUGUUUGGCUGAAAUAUGUUCCCGGAAUUGCUUUCAGAACAGACAAUCGUCCUUUCAUGGUUUGGCACUAAGAAUCCUUCAUCACAUAUAAUGCUCCUAUUUUAUUGUAUUUAAAAAAGAAUUAGCUAACUUUAAUUUUUGUAACUGUUUUCCAGGCAGCAAUGGAAAAAUUUACACAGAAAAUUGUGUAUAUGAUGAAGGCAGAAAGGUUGUUCCAAACUCAAGGAGGUCCUAUAAUUCUGUCACAGGUGAGAAAACUUGCUCAACUUGGUCUUUUUUUCCUACAAUUGGGUCAAAUUCUUUAUUUUUUCAGUGUAUUGUUUCACUUUUGUUUUUUCUGCUGAGGAAAUUUUAGUAUUGGGCAGUCAAUGGGGAAAGUUACUUAUAUUGUAUUUUUUAUCAACUUGAUUUUGACAGAUUGAAAAUGAAUAUGGACCGGUAGAGUGGGAAAUCGGUGCACCUGGUAGAUCUUAUACUCAAUGGGCAGCAAAAAUGGCUGUGGGUCUCAACACUGGGGUUCCAUGGGUUAUGUGCAAGCAAGAAGAUGCCCCUGAUCCAAUCGUAAGCUAUUUCUGCACAUUCUUUUUGAAGUUUUCCAGUCAUUUUCUCACAAGAGUUGCAUAUCUGUCUUUCAUUUAUUGUGGCCCUAUGUUCUUGUUGGGGUGUCUUAAAACAGCAAAUAAUGAACUUGACUGUGUUUGUCCCCAGGCUAUAGUUUAUUAUGAAUUUGGUUUAGAUGUCGAACUCCCCACACUAGCUUGUUUUGCGAUUGUUUUAGUUUUCUUGAGACAUUUCAUCGAACAUCUUAUCCCGCAUAUCUUUAGAAACUCAUCUUUGCUGAAGCUGGAGACUUUGAAAGUCCAUUAAUUUGGGUUGGUUUAGUUAGCAACUGAAUCUCUACUGUCCAAUUGUUUACGCCAUUAAAACCAUUAAACAAAAGGUUGAAGAUUUGUACCCCCUACAAUAAGGAAGACUCAAGGUAUCCCCUAUCCUUAUCUCUGACACCUUGUCAUCUAUUAUGUGGCAGAUCGAUACUUGCAAUGGCUUCUACUGUGAAAACUUCACUCCAAACAAGAAUUAUAAGCCCAAAAUGUGGACUGAAAUCUGGACUGGAUGGUAAGUCUCACAUGUUGCUUCUUGACAGAAAUUUAGAAUUGAUUGCUGUGGCCUGUGGGUACUACUUUGUGCUGACUCUUUGUGUGAACUUUACAGGUAUACAGAAUUUGGUGGGGCAGUUCCUACUAGACCUGCACAGGACUUGGCAUUUUCAGUUGCAAGGUUUAUUCAAAAUGGUGGUUCUUUUGCCAACUACUACAUGGUACUUAUUCGCCUUCUAUAUAUUUCCUAGCUAAAUUUAUCUUUACUGAUGUUGGUAAAAAUAUCUGAUUUUAACCAUCUUUUACUCCGGUUUUGUUACAGUAUCAUGGAGGAACAAAUUUUGGCCGAACUGCUGGUGGUCCCUUCAUUGCAACUAGCUAUGACUAUGAUGCACCUCUAGAUGAAUAUGGUAUGCAAAUAGCCUCAUAAUCCUUUUACUUACACAUUUAACAUUUCCUAGUCAGGAAUUGGUUAUUAACCUAACAUGACCAGAUCACCUUACAGUCUGUUACUUACCUAACAUAUGCUCUUGCCUAUUUAUUCCAGGACUACCAAGGGAACCAAAAUAUAGCCAUUUGAAAUAUAUGCACAAAGCCAUCAAGAUGGCUGAGCCAGCUUUAUUGGCCACUGAUGCUGCAGUGUCAAAACUUGGAAAUAAUCAAGAGGUAUGGGUUUUCAAAGUUGAGCUAUUUGAAAAUAUGCACACAGCCUUAAGAGAAUGUUUAUAAACCGUACUAAUUACAGUUAUGUGAAUGUUACUGUGAUUCUCAUAGUGGUGAUCAAAUACUUGUAGGCUCAUGUAUACCAGUCAAGAUCUGGUUGUGCUGCAUUCCUUGCCAAUUAUGACACAAAAUACCCCGUGAGAGUGACAUUUUGGAAUAAGCAAUAUAACCUGCCACCUUGGUCCAUAAGCAUUCUUCCUGAUUGCAAAACUGAAGUAUUUAACACUGCAAGGGUGAGGAGAUAUAUAUAUUUGUUCCUUUGCUUAGUCUAGUAAAUCGACUUUCUUUUUUGUUACCUAAAAUUUUUAUAGACCGUAAAUUACAUAUUUUGUUGGACAUUUCUAUUAUGUAGUAUUGACAGAGUUCUCUGCUACAGGUUGGCCAGAGUCCACCAACGAAGAUGACACCAGUAGCUCACCUUUCUUGGCAAGCUUACAUUGAAGAUGUUGCCACAUCUGCUGAUGACAAUGCAUUUACAUCAGUCGGACUUCGUGAGCAAUUAAGUGUCACUUGGGAUAACACAGACUACUUGUGGUACAUGACAGAGUAAGUACUUUACAAUCUUUUUCUAGAUUUUCUACAUGUUAUUUGCUUUUGCCAAGUUACUCAUUGAAAUUUCUGUUGCUCAGUAUCACAAUAGGUCCUAAUGAACAAUUUUUAAGAACUGGAAAGUACCCCACUCUCAAAGUCGAUUCAGCUGGGCAUGCCUUGCAUGUUUUCAUCAAUGGUCAACUAUCAGGUAAAUGAAAGUUUGAAAGAGGAUCUGCUUAUAACACAUUGGAGCACUCCAAUCGGUUUGAGUCUGACAACUUAUGAGUUUAUCUACCUUUACUGCAGGAUCUGCUUAUGGAACAUUGGCGUCCCCCAAAUUAGAAUUUAAUCAGGGUGUGAAGCUGAGAGCUGGCAUAAACAAGCUUGCUUUACUUAGUGUUUCAGUUGGUCUGGCGGUUAGUUCCCUCAAUUCUCCAUUGUGACUGUGGCCUUUAUUUAACCUAGAUAUAGAAACUGACAUAUAUGCAAAACAGAAUGUUGGUCUGCACUUUGAGACAUGGAAUACUGGAGUUCUUGGGCCAGUCACGUUGGCUGGUGUGAAUUCGGGAACAUGGGAUAUGUCACGAUGGCAAUGGACCUACAAGGUAUGUUGUUCUUUCAUUUUUCUGUUUCACUUCCUUCACCAGUAAAACUUCCUUUUGUUAACCCCAUUAGCAAGAACUGAAGCCAAGACUUCUUAACUUUUUGUUGAGGCAGGUUGGCAUGAGAGGUGAAGAUAUGAGCCUCCAUACCGUCAGUGGAAGUUCUUCUGUUGAAUGGGUACAAGGAUCACUAUUGGCUCAAUAUCGACCCCUUACAUGGUAUAAGGCUAUUUUAAAUGCACCACCAGGAAAUGCACCAUUAGCUUUAGAUAUGGGUAGCAUGGGAAAGGGUCAAAUGUGGAUUAAUGGUCAGAGCAUCGGACGCCAUUGGCCAGCAUAUAAAGCACACGGGAGUUGUGGUGCUUGUUACUAUGCUGGUACUUAUACUGAAAACAAAUGCCGAACAAAUUGUGGACAGCCCUCUCAGAGAUGGUGAGUAAAGUUCAUCUUCUUCAUGUCUAUGCAUGUCUUUGUUUUUGUGAAUCAGAAUGAUCAUGAUAGAGCUGUUUUUCCAGGUACCAUGUUCCCCGCUCGUGGUUGAAGUCAAGUGGGAAUUUAUUGGUUGUGUUUGAAGAAUGGGGUGGUGAUCCGACUAAGAUUUCUUUGGUAGCAAGAAGUUGAGUUUGUGAAAUUUCUGGAGGAGAUCCAGCAAAUUUGAAGAUUGCAACAAUAAAGUCUCGUAUAAAUUUGUCUUCAAUAUAUAUAUAUAGGCCUUUACAACCAUAGCCAAUUGUAAAUAGUGAAAAUGUUUGGUUAUAUACAUAGCCACAUAGGUAUUGUAUACUAGGUCUACAUGCAAAGUAUGUAUUCCUUAGAUAUGCGCAAGCAUUUUCUGUAUCUCUGUAAAGAAGUGUGGAAGAGCAAAGCAAUUUCUUUUUGCUUGUAAGAAUAAAAUGAGAAAUCAAUAUAGAGCCUACUUUUGAAUGACAUUUCAGCGUCUGCUUUAGCUUCAUAUCAUUGUCUCUGAGGGAGUUCACAAACUUGUCAUCCUUGUACUUCUAGUGCAGCAGAGAAACAGAUUGGCAUGGUCUCUUUUAGUAACAGAUUAGUGUUCUUUGACUCGAGCCAUAAAUGACAUCUUCUACAUCUUCGUAGACAUCGAAUACUUCUUGUCCUAGAGGCUUCUACUGAUGCAGCAGUUUGGAUUAGGCUCAAGUACAGGCUGCCCUGCAUUCCCAUGCUAGCAUCAAAUAGCGAAGCAUACAAACUACAUCAGUUUCACUCCAUGGAAUCAAGUUCUCAACCCCUUUGGGGCAACCGCGCAAAACCAGCAGGAUUCUCUAUUACAAUUUAUUUUAUGCAGACCAAAAACUACAUGUGUUUUUGCUUCAGAUCAAUGCACAUUGCACCCCCUUGUGUAUUGAAUCCAUCUAACCCUCUAUUCCGAGUCCAAGUUACUUGGUCUGUAAGAUAAAACCGACAAAUUUGCUGGGUAGUAAUUGCAAGGGGAUAAAAAAUUUGUCAGUCAUUUCUUGGCACACUGGCAAAUGGCAUCUUUGAUCAAAUUAACUGAACUAGAAACUCAACCCCAGAAGCUAGACCCGUGAUGCACAAAUCUACUACCACCAUGUCACAUGUUCUAACAAAAAAAUGCUGCACAGUUUGCAUACUAACAAAAUGUCUCUAAAAGAUACUAAAUUGUAAAAGUUCUGAAUGUUUAAUCCCACAUAAACCUAAACCAGAAACUCGUGUUCAAUUAUGGAAGAUUGUUUUUUUUUAAAAGUACUUUUUAUUAAAGACAAACUCUUUGGUGGUUGGAAUUGACAACUUGAUAUGAGGAAUAAGACCCCGUGAAUGGAAUAAUCAUCUGCUCCCUCCAAACACAAAGAAGCCCUUCUCUGCCUCACAAUCCAGAAUGAUCUCAACGCCGCCGUGUCGACAUUCUUCGACGCCACAACAAACACCGUCCGGCACCCAAUUCCCGCUCUCUGAUCUGAAGCGGCUGGCCGGAAAAAGGUACUCUCUUUCUGAAUUUGGACCCAUGAAAUUAUGGUUUAACAUUCAUUCUGUUUCUUCCUUGUAUGUUUGGUCUGACUGUCUGAGAAAAUCAGUGUCUGAAAAUUUCAGUUUCUACAGUGCCCUUUGCAGUGCUGGUCUUGUUCUGCCAGCUGGAUUUUUAUUAUAUUUAUACAUUAUUAGUGUUUGUCUAGGUGGUGCCAAUGUGGCAUCUACGUGGUGCCAAUGUGGCAUCCAUGUAGGCAGAAACUGUUUUCUUGACCAUAAAGUCAACUAUGAAUGUGUCCUACCGUCACCUGGUAGGGAAAGCCUUACAACAGUUCGAUGCAUUCUUACAUCAGAAAAUCCUACAAUGCAAUAUUGCAUGUUAUAUCGGGUCAUUUCGUGAAAAUGUUUGUGUAAGAAAGAUGAGUACAAGGAGUGAAAGGCACCCAUUUAGCCAUUUAGCCCAAUAUUUGUAGAACCCUUACGCUUGUGUGGUUUUCCAUUCUCUUUUAAGCCUGUGAAAUGCUUCACGCAAUAAAAUACCACAUGCCUUCACCAAGGCACAAAGUUUUUCUUACUUUUGAAAGAGGUUGUUAUUCUGAUAUGAUUUGAUAUGGAAAGUAAGCUACAGAUUAAAAGAGCUCAGCACUUUGGUUUACUUGUUAUACAGCCUCUUGUUUUAGUUAGGAAAGUAAUUAACUGCUUUGAUAAGGUUAUUGUUUUGGCUUAGGAUAUGAUUAUUACUUGUUCUUUAAGCCUUCCUAUUUGGUCCUGGAGACAGGAGGUGAAAAAAUAGCAUUAUAAAUUUGAAUAGACUCUCAUUGUUUCAUGCCAUCUGCAAAUUUCUGAAUAAUUUGUCUUCAUUUGCUUUGUUUUCUCUCCAAACUUGAGUGCAUUUGGUAUUCAAGGUUGCGAAUAUUCAUAUGUCAUAUUCUUAUUUGUCCAUGGAUUUAGUGCAGUCAAUGUGGAACUGUAACAAGUUGAAGGCCAAUGCCUCCAUGUUCCUGCUGUUGUUUCUGUUUUCAUGGCUGUCUUCUGCUACAGCCUCUGUGAGUUAUGACCAUAGAGCUAUAAUAAUUGAUGGACAGAAGAGAAUUCUGCUAUCUGGUUCCAUCCACUAUCCCAGAAGCACACCUGAGGUACUAAUAAUGCCAUGUGAUUUGUUUGUACCGGUUUCUUUAGCCCUUUUGAACUUGCAAUAUUAAGGCAUUGCAUUGAGAUUACUAAUACUUUUUAUUGCACGCUGUUAUAGAUGUGGCCGGAUUUAAUCCAGAAGGCUAAAGAUGGAGGUUUAGAUGUUAUACAAACCUAUGUGUUUUGGAACGGGCACGAGCCUUCUCCAGGGAAGUAUUAUUUUGAGGAUAGAUAUGAUUUGGUUAAGUUCAUCAAGCUGGUCAAACAAGCAGGGCUAUAUGUACAUCUCCGGAUUGGUCCUUAUGUUUGUGCUGAAUGGAACUUUGGGGGGUUCCCUGCUUGGCUCAAAUAUGUUCCUGGAAUUGAGUUUAGAACAGAUAAUGAGCCUUUCAAGGCAGCAAUGAAAACAUUUACAGAAAAAAUUGUUGGUAUGAUGAAGGCAGAAGGGCUAUUUCAACCUCAGGGAGGUCCCAUCAUUAUGUCUCAGAUAGAAAAUGAGUAUGGACCUGUGGAGUGGGAAAUCAAAGCCCCUGGUAAAGCAUAUACCAAUUGGACGGCGCAAAUGGCUCUUGGUCUUGACACUGGGGUCCCAUGGAUAAUGUGCAAGCAAGAGGAUGCUCCCGACCCAAUUGUAAGCUGUUCUGCACGUUCUUUUCAACAUUUUUCUACUGUCUUGUCACAUUCUUUGCUGAAGUUUCGACUUUAGAAAUCAGUUUCUUAGGUUGGUUUUAUAAGUGAUUGGAUGAAUGAUGUAUCCAUUACAAAAAACAAAGCUUCAAGACCUAUCCUUAAUAUUAACACAUUAUAGUUAAAUAUGUGACAGAUUGAUACUUGCAAUGGUUUUUACUGUGAGAACUUCACUCCAAACAAGAAGUAUAAACCUAAAAUGUGGACAGAAGUCUGGACUGGCUGGUGAGCACACAUGUUUGCUUGUACAACUCAAAAAUUCAUUUACAUUCUUGUAUUGUUCUUCAAUCCUUACCGGUUCUGGCUCUUGAUAAAAUUAACAGGUAUACAGAAUUUGGAGGGGCAGUUCCUACUAGACCUGCACAAGACUUAGCAUUUUCAGUAGCAAGGUUUAUUCAAAAUGGUGGUUCUUUUGCUAACUAUUAUAUGGUUAGUUUUUAUCCUUUAUAUAUCUAAGUUAUUUUUAAUAGAGUAUAUUUUCUUAUUUUUAUCCUCUGAUCUUCCCAUUUUUCCAGUAUCAUGGAGGAACAAAUUUUGACCGAACUUCUGGCCUUUUCGUUGCAACUAGCUAUGACUAUGAUGCACCUCUAGAUGAAUAUGGUACGCAGAUAUAAUUAGCACCCUAUUGUAUUCUUGGUGGUUAUAAUAUGUUAGGUUCAUGAUUCUUACUUCAUACAUUUGAUCCUUAACUUACCAAACCCAAGAGAAAGUCUGUUGCAAUGGAAUGUGAAGUGAAUAGUGGAAGAACAUGUUACUGAUAGAUACUUGCAUAUGAAUUCCAGGACUACCAAGGGAACCAAAGUGGAGUCAUUUGAAAUAUUUGCACAAAGCUAUCAAAUUAGCUGAGGCAGCUUUAGUGGCUACUGAUCCUGCAGUGUCAUCACUUGGAAAGAGUCAAGAGGUAAUAUUUUGCAGCAAACCUAGAAAAUUACUACAUUUUACCAAGUUAUGCUUGUUUGAAAUUUACUAUGAUUCUCAAAGUCGGUGAUUAAUGGCGCAGGCUCAUGUAUUCAAUUCAACUUCUGGGUGUGCUGCAUUUCUUGCAAACUACGACACAAAAUACUCGUCAAGAGUGAGCUUUGGGAAUAGGCAAUAUAAGCUGCCACCCUGGUCUAUAAGCAUUCUUCCUGACUGCAUAACCGACGUUCUCAACACGGGAAGGGUGAGGAGGAAAUGUAGUUCAUUAUGCUUGACAGUUGCGAUUUGUUUCCAUUUCAGUCUAGAAAGUGCAGUUAAUUUUUACUUGGAGAUUAUUUUAUGUGUCUUGACAUAAGGUUGUUCUUUGUAAAGGUUGGCCAGAGCCCGCCAGUGGAUAUGACACCAGUAAAUACCACCCUUUCUUGGCAGUCGUACAUCGAAGAUGCUGCCUCUUCUGCUGAUGACAGUACAUUUACAUUGGAUGGGCUCUAUGAGCAAAUAAAUAUCACUAGAGAUGCAACAGACUACUUAUGGUACAUGACAGAGUAAGUGUUUACUGUGUUUUAAGCCAAUGCCUUCUUAGAAAAAAAUAACUUACACAUCUUUUUCUGGGUUGUUGAGUAACAAAGUUUCUGUUACAGUAUCACAAUAGGUCCUAAUGAAGAAUUUCUAAAGAAUGGUUCUUAUCCUCUUCUUACUAUUGAUUCAGCUGGACAUGCCUUGCAUGUUUUCAUCAAUGGUCAACUAUCAGGUAGAUGAAAUAGAAUGACACUAUGUUGAUCCAUGUACUACAGUUAAGCUUUAACUAAUGUAUACCUUAACUGCAGGAACUGUUUAUGCGGGAUUGGCCUUUCCAAAAUUAAGAUUUAAUGACACUGUGAAGCUCCGAGCUGGCAUCAACAAGCUUGCUUUACUAAGCAUUGCUGUUGGUCUGCCGGUUAGUUUCCUCAUUCUUUCAUGAUUAUAGUUUUCGGAAACAGUCAGAGAUGGCAAUUGACAUGAAUGUCUUUUCUGUUGUACAAAAUGCAGAAUGUUGGUUUGCACUUUGAGACUUGGAACGCUGGAGUUCUAGGGCCAGUCACAUUGAAGGGUCUGAAUUCAGGAACAUGGAACAUGUCACGGUGGAAAUGGACCUACAAGGUUUGUCUUCUUUCGGCAUUUCCCCUCCACUGUUUCUUUUCUUUACCCUCGGAAAGAAUUAAACCAGACUUUUAUUCAAAGGAAUUGAACCAAACUUAGAGUUGUUGGCAUGUAUUUUGUGAGCAGAUUGGAAUGAGAGGUGAAGCUUUAAGCCUCCACACUGUUAAGGGGAGUUCUUCUGUUGAAUGGGUAGAAGGACCAUUAUUGGCUCAAAAACAACCCCUUACAUGGUACAAGGUAAGUUAACUUCAUUGCUCAUCCAGUCGUCCAUGAUACUAUAAAGGGUUUAAUCAAAAGCAACGUGCUAACUUGUGCUGUGAUAUUUCCAGUCUAUAUUUCGUGCACCACCGGGCAAUGCUCCAUUAGCUUUAGAUAUGAUUAGCAUGGGAAAAGGUCAAGUAUGGAUCAAUGGUAGAAGCAUCGGGCGCCACUGGCCUGGAUACAUAGCACAUGGUAGCUGUGGAAAUUGCUCUUAUGCUGGAACUUACACUGAAAACAAAUGCCGAACGAAUUGUGGCCAGCCGUCUCAGAGAUGGUGAGAAAAGUUGAACCUCUUAACGUUAUGCCUCUUUCUUUGUUUUGUGAAUUAGUGUUAUCAUAACAGAGCUGUUGUUUGCAGGUACCAUGUUCCGCGGUCGUGGUUGAACCAGAGUGAAAAUUUGUUGGUGGUGUUUGAAGAAUGGGGUGGUGAUCCGACUAAGAUUUCCUUGGUAGCAAGAAGCUAUGAAAGUUUAGAGCAGACCCUCUAUAACAUAGCGAGCUCCAAUCAUUUGAGAUUGCAACUGUAGAAGUCAAAAAUGUCUGGUUCGGUUAUGUACAUAGUACAUACUACAGAGUACAGACUACAAUAAUGAUGUAAUAUUAUGAUAUAUUUUAUCAUCAAGAUCGUAAUGCAAUAAAAUUUCUUCACAUUCAUGAAACACAGAAGGCAAAUAUCUGAUUUAGGACUUGAAUGACAUUAUCAACAUCUUUCUGGAGCUCCAAUACUACUCGUCCUUGAUGCCUCCACUGCUCCAAUCUACUGCAGAGAUCCAUCACCACCACAUCAUCAUCAACUCCGAGUUGAAUGAACCUCUUAAUGCAUUUAAUCAAGUAUUUGCCGACCUGCACUUUCACCCGGCAAAUGAAGUCUAUGCUAGCCUCUUGGGUCUCAAAUAGUGAAGAACACAUACUUUCAACAAUAUCGGUGAAGCUGAAAACAAGAAAUGCACCUGCUACAACCUCUUUUUCGUUACAUUCAUCAGUCCAUGAAAUUGGGUUCUUAUUCCCUCUGGAGUUCCAUUUUAUAUGCUUCAGUCCGGGAGUCUUAGUUUCCCUUGACUGAAAAAUUCUGCCCGUGGUGGCAUAAUUCAGCAGCAGUUCUAAUCCCUCUUCACUGAGACGACUGGAGCAACAAAGCAAGAUACCUAGUGGGAUUCUCUGGAACAAGACAUUUUUCUGCAGACUAAGACCACCGGAUGGUUUUCUUUCAGAUGAUUCAUAACUGUUAACAUUUUCACAGCAAUAUACCGUGCAUAUUUUAUUGAAUCCAUUGAGCCAGACUGCAAUGCUUUGAUCAUCAUACUCUCUUGUGGAAGUAUGAUCCUCUUCACAGAGUUUGAGUUUCUUGAGUUUCUUCUUGUAGAAUGUUUCUUUGUCACGUGACUGUUUAAAAGCCGGGGACUCUGAAUGUUUAAUCAAGCAAUCGGCCAGCCUAUUCUGGUGAGACUUACUAACAGGACUCAAAAUCCAAGCGAUGUACCUUGCUGCCGCAAUGGAAGGCAGUUCUUCAUAAUGUGUUUUCCCAACUUUGGAUGCUGCCAAUAAGCAUACUUUAUGACAAUUGUUGUGGGAACCUUUCUCUGAGAACAGCAAUGCAGAAGCAAAGUAGAACCAAUCUGGGAAGUUGAUAGCCAGGGACCUACCAUGCAACAAUUUCUGGAUCAGUCUUUCAUUUAGGAGACUGCGAUGGUGCGCAUGACAUUUUUUUUUUCACAUGGAAUUAUGCGGUAAGAAAUUACCAGAUAGACUUGUGAUCGACAGCUGAAACCUUCAGUAUAGGUGACUUAAUAGAUGGAUAAAGUUGAGUCUUGGCAGAAGGUACCGGUUCACUUGUCUCGUUCAGUAGAUGUAGGAAACCAUCAUAGGAGAGGGGUCCAGCCAAGUUCCUUAACAAGUGGUGGUUGUAAGGAAAAUAAGCAUUGGAAAACGGUAACUUUCCUCCCAAUUCUGCUGAUAUGUCCCAGAACAUGGGUCUCAAAAUCACAUCUAAUGUCACUGAGACCAAUUGAAUUAGAAGCUCAUGCACAGAAGCCAAACCCCUGAAGCAAAAGUCAACAAACCAUAUCAAAUUAGAUUAGAAACUUGCACUACAAAUCAACUUUGCAAACAAAUUUAAUCUCAUCAAGCAUGAUAAAUGAUAAACCAACAAAUAUUAAUAGAGAGAACUUAAACAUCCUGCUAAAUGAUAAUGUACUCACGUGAGUAGGAACCAUCUGUGCAACAAAACUCUGGCCUCAACAAACAUCAUGGGAGAAAGUACCAAGGAUAUGAUAAUGGAGCGCCACUCAGUACUCUCAUGAAACUCUUUACUCAAACAAAGGAAUGGCCUCCUCAUGGCUACUUGCAAGAUGUUUGAAACAUCACGCUUCAAAACCAGUGGAUCAAGAUACCAAAUCAGCAACCUGCAGACAUCAGAACUCCCAAAUUAACUACAAGACCACAAAAGAACACUAAAGAAGUUUGCAAAACCAGCCAAAACCCAUUUCCAAGUACCUGAGAGAUAUUUUGUCGUUAUCAAGCAACGUUGCACUAGGCAAAUGACAUAGCAGCUUCGAAAUCAAGCUAUUCCUCCCAUCCACUGAUUUCACAUCACGAAUGGGAAUUGACGGCUGCCGAUACAGAGAUGCCGAACUAGCAACUCUCACAAUGGCACACAGUAAAGACUCCGAAAGCUUACCUUCAAACAAAUCAAAACUACACUAAUCUCACAAUCCAAUCACAAAACUACUACUUUCUAAAAGACACAAAAUUUGAAAACUAAUUUGAACUCCAAAUGUGAGCUAGUAUAUCAGAGUGUAUCUAUAUACCCACCAUGUCCCUCCAAUUUCUCAAGAAUCUCACCACACGAUUCGAUCCAAUCACCGCAAUCUCGGCGAGAAAUGGAGCUCCCAAUCACCAAGAUUUCAUCUUUCGGUCUCCGAAAGACGUCACAGCGAAUCGAAGACAACAAAACAGUGACAAUUGUCUUCACCGAAUACGCAAUCACCGAAUCGAAAACCUAAAGCAAAUCACAAUUACAGUAAAAUUUCAGAUAUAAGAAACCCUAAAUCGACAAUUCCGGUUACGAAUUUGAGAAAGCUGACCUGGGGCGCUUUGAAGCACAUCAGAGAUAGGACCGUGUCCAAAACCCUAACCCUAGAAUUGCCGCCGAGGUUUAGGGACUGGUUCAGAUUCGAAAUUGAUAGGCCCAGAGCAGAUUCGGCUUGUUGGUCUUGGGAAGUGCGAUGAGGCAACGACGUGUCGUUUAAGUGGGUGGCGAGCCGGGUGAAGAGGUCGGUCAGUUCCGGCACUGAGGUCAUGGUGAAGGCCGCAGACGACGGUUAUGUGGGUUCGCGCCAAAUUGAGGCAAUUUAACCUCAUCAUUUUUGGGCUGCUGCACAGAAGGCCCACGGCCCAUGUAUUAAUUUGUGUACAAUUUGUGGCCCCUUAACACCGGACUAUGUAAAAAAGGUUCGUGUUUCUUGAACAUGACUCAUAUAUGGAGAGACAUUGCUCAGGAAAAAAAUCCACAAAAGAUGUUGUUUUGAAGGACAUUUUUUAUAUAAUUAAAUUCAGUUUACCCCGUUGCGGUUUAGAGGUGAAUUUAUGUUAAUCCCUAAACUUUCAAUUUCAUUAAAUUACUUCCCGAGCUCUUGUUUUUUUGUCUGCCGUCUCCUAUCACUCAUGCUUCAUCCAAUUAGGACGUUGAAAUUUGAUGACGUUUUGGGGGUUGAAAAGCUAAAUUACCAGAAAAACAAGAGCUCGGAUGGUAAUCUGAUGAAAUUGAAAAUUUAGUGACUAACAUGAAUUCACUUCUAAAUCACAAUGAGAUAAAUUGAAUUUAAUUUUUGUUUAUAUUUCCAGAGGGCGUAGGAGCAACACCAGAAGGAACCAAACAUUAACAUAUUGUUGGUUUUAACAGAUUAUAUUAUUAUCCUAGAGGACCAUGAUUAUCCUAGAGGACCAUGAUUAAAUUAUCAUUCUCCUUCUCAAGCACAAUAAAACGUGUAGCAUACUAGCACCAAAAAGUAUAUAGAAAAUCAACAUGUGCGAUGUGUCCCUUUGUCUUGUUACGAAAAUUAACCUGACGUACUAAUUCAACACCCAUAUUCCAUUAUUUAUACUUUGCAUUUGACGCAUGGUGUUUGGGGUGGCGUUACCUUAGCCCAAUUGUCAUCCAGACACAAUGUACCAAAACAAAGCUACUGUAUAUGGUAAGCGAUAGAUUAUCCAUAAACAGAAUAUUGGGCGCAUGCUGAAAAUAACAGAUGUGUAUGAAUCCAAGGUUGGUAGGAUCACACUAUCACAGUAAGAGUCCAGGACCCCGCAAGGACCCGAUGAGGUCAAGAACUAGGACAAAGGACGCCUGUAUGUACCAUUUCUAUGCCCUCCUGGCCUGCUGUUUACAGCGUGUGUACAACAAGCAUGCACUGAUUUCAAUCGGGUCACAGAAUCACACAUGUUACAGCCUCCCAAGAAUUAAACAACAUAUCAAUGACAAUAGUUAAGCAAAUCAAGAAAUUUACCCAACGAAAUGAAAUCAUACUCCUUUUCAAGUCCUUAGUUACAAUUAGCACCUGUCUAAUUGCGAAUUUACUACCCCCACAUGCACUUUACCCCCCAAUUUCCAUGUUAAACCAAGCACCAUCAUCAACUCUGUGUUAUCCUAAAUCUCAGUAAUUAUAGAUUAGACUAGACUAGACUGUGUUUUAGCACUGAGAAAAAUUAAUUGGUACCGGAGAAAAGCUGGUCUGGAUUCAAGUCUUCACCUAGAAACCGUGCCAGCGCAGCGUCGUCCCAGUCUGCAUCUAACUCUGGUGCUUCUAUUACCUCACGCGCCCACAUUUCAGCAUCAUCCAUAUCCCACGCGCUCUCCGCCGUGUACCACUCGUGGCCGCCCAUCCACACCUGACUCAUGUCCACGCUGGCCAUAACCGACGAGUCGGCGUCCGAGAACGACGAGCCGCAGCUCUCCUCGUUCCCGUUGAUCGUUACGUAUGAGGUGGACAUGGUCUGGAACACCCUCGGUGACCUGGACGGAUUCUCCGCGAACGUCAACGACGUCUCCGGAGCAGCGACGUCGGCGUUGUUCAAGUCCAGUAGGCGCGUCAGCUCGCUCAGCGUCUCGUCGUCGUCGCUGGCCAUAACGACGUCGUUCGCUGGCGGAGGAUCCCAAACGUCGACCAUGACUGCAACGACGUCGUUCACUGCCGGAGGAACCGAAACGUCUCCGAUGACGUCAUUGUCGUUGAACACCGGAGGGACCGAAACGACGCCGUUCACUGCCGGAGGAAUUGAAAUGCCGCCGCCGCUUUUCGCAACGACGUCGUUCACUGGCGGAAAAGCCCAAACGUCGACGAUGACUGCACCGACGUCGUUCGCUGGCGGAGGAACCGAAACGUCGCCGCCGUCCAUGACGUCGUUCACUACCGGAGGAACCGAAAUGACGUCGACGCCGGCCGCAACGACUGCUGGAGAAACGGAAACGUCGCCGCUGUCGGUAACGACGUCGUUUGCUACCGGAGGAACCGAAACGACGGCGUUGACUACAGGAGCGAAAUCGCCGCUGUGCAGGACGACGUCGUUUGACACCGGAGGAAUGGAAAUGUCGGCGGAUUCUUCGGCGGCCUGAUCUCGCCGCCUCUUCGCGGAGGGAGACGAGGAUGAGGACGACGCGUCGUCUGGAGUGACGUCACCACCGGGCCUCUUCCGCAUGUCCUCCAUUUUCUCUUCAGAGAGAGUGUACGAAAAAAAAGCUGAGCGAGAAAAGAGAGAGAGUGAGGUGCGGUAUGGCUCUCGCUUUUGUAUUUAUACCUGACAAGGACGUCCCACCUCUUUGGGUCCCACGUGAUUUGGAUCCUACGCUUUGAUAUAUCUGGGCCGUAGGGGUUUGAUCAGACGGUGUGGGGUUUUGUUUAGAGCGUGUCGCGAAGUGGCGGACGUGGUGACGUGGCGGGUAGCGGAGGGAAGGAAAAGGGCGCGAGGAUUUUGAGAUGGCGGCCAAGGGGGAUGGACUGGUAGGAAAAGACAGGUUUGUCACAUCUGGGUGUGGAAAACAGACCCCGUGAAGUGGCUUUUUGGGAAUUUGAGUUAAAUUGGAAAAGUUCUAGAGUCUCGGGGAGGUGGUUAUCGUUUUCCACUCUUCUUCCUCUGCAAGUUUUAGAGUAGGCAAUGUUUGUGAAUUGUGAUGGCUAAUUGUGACCCAAUUGACCAUAUAUAUAGUAGGGAUGAAAAUGCAUUUUCUCUGAAAAUAAUCUUUCCGAAAAUCUAAUGUGUUUUUGUGUUAUCAGAUUCGUUAAAUAUUUAUGAUUAACGGAAUGUUUUUUAAUAUUUUAUAUAAUUAGUCGAAUGUGUUUUUAAGAUGGACGACUAUGUUCAUUGACUGAAUCCAUUCAUGAUAAUUGCGAAGUUUGAAUUGACAAUCAAAACAAAUUACAUGUCAUAUAUACGAAAUUGAUUCUCGUAAGUUUAUUCUAUAGUUAGAAGUGACAUAUCAGAGUUAUAACGAGUCAUUUAAGAGGAUACAUGCCCAAAAUAACAAAUUUUGCUUUCUUACUAACGAAGAAAUUUAAAUAUCAUAACCAAAAUAACUUAUAAUAACUCAAUCGGCCUAAGCAUCCAUAUCAUUACUCUACGUCACGUGUGGAAUGAUGCAUUGAUACAUGGACAACUUAAAUUGAAUGACAUAGAACACGGCAAGUUGGCGAGGUUAUGGAUAAUUUACUUGGAGGAGUUUAGACAUUUCACCCAAAACGAAUUUAUAAUCAUUGAUAAGGUCUAAACACUUAGAAGUCACACUCCACAUACCCACACCUUAUUAGAACGGACUGGAUUUAGAAGGUCAAGGUUUGCAAUUAUUUGGUAAGUAAUGUGACAUGAGAUUAGGAGAAAUUUUUCAAUGCUACGAGAGGAUCACGUGAUAGUAUGACGCUACUAGGCAUGAUAAUAUGCCAAUUAAUUAUAACACAUAUGUUCUUAUUUAGUCUUGAUUAUUGCUUGACACUAACACACAAAACAAUACAGACACUAGUUACACGCUGUUUUGGCCACACCAGUAAGUCUGGGCGUGCAAAGUCUCUUUUAGUUGUUGCGGGCGUGCCACCGCGCGGACGCGGAAUGUAAUGGCUGUAGUAGCGGGGUGCGCUUAGCCUUUUGCUUCUAAUCAAGCGACUGAGGAUGGAGAGAGCACCAACUCCAUCGCAGGGUUCUUUAGAUUUGCCUUGCGUACUGAGCAAUGACUUACAGUAGUCCGCCUGAGCGUCACAAUAUCGAUACUCGACGUAAGAUCGAGCAGAGCUUCAACUGGGAAGGAAGGAAAAAAGACAAAGCUCCGGGGAGCAUACAGGGAAACAAAAGCAAAGCUCCGGGGAGCGUCUUGAGGUUCAACUGUGUUGAAAGUAAUUUUGUAAUUGUUGCGUUGUUAAGUGUUGAUCCUUGAACUCCCUUAUAUAAAGGUAUUUUAGGGCCACAUGUAUUGGCCCAAAACAUGUCAAAGACUUAUAGAAGUCUUUAACGAUAAUAUUGGAUCGUAGGCAGUCCUUAUCAACUCUUUGCCGUUGCUCUUCUUGAAGGUAGUAGAGUUGGUUUAGGAUACCUUAUUGUCAUGGACGUAUGCAUAGAUCACAUAUAGCUUAGGAUGAUUGCAUCCUCAUUUGAUUACGUCCCUCCAUGCACUAAUUGUAAUUGAUAUAUGUAGAUAUAAACUUAUCUAUAUAGAGAGGAUGUGAAGCGGACGUCCGCACUCCGGCUUAAAGUGCGGACGUCGUCUGUUCUCCACCGUUUCACGCCGGCGAUGACUUCUCUCCUUCCCAGACGACAGCACAGGCUUCCAGGACGGUUUCUCUCCUUCCAGGACUGGCCGGUGAUAAGUUUUCCGGCCGGAUUGAAGCUCUGGAUGGAAAAUGCCAUGAUUGAUCAAGGUUGGCCGGAAAACUUGUCGCCGGCUAAUCCUGGAAGGAGAGAAGCCAUCCUGGAAGCCUGUGCUGUCGUUUGGGAAGGAGAGAAGCCGUCGCCGGCGUGAGACGGCGGAAAACGGACGAAGUCUGCACUUUAAGCCGGAAUACGGACGUCCGCUUCACAUCCUCUCUGCUUAUCUAUAUAUGUAGAUAGGAUGGUCAUACACGUCCAGGACUUCUAGGCGAAGUCUUCCCCUUCGCAUGCAAGUCUCUGUUCAGUUCACCUGCCAACUAUCUCGCAUGCAACCUCUUUAUGUGCAAGCCACUUCACGAGGUAGUGAUUCUGUUUCGCAUGCAACCUCUUCGCAUGCAUCUCGCCUCCAUGUUUAGGACUCUACUUCUAUGCGAAGUCUGUAGCUCUUCGCAUGCAAGCAUUUUUCUUCACCACACAUAAGGAGCACAUACACUUGCAUACAUAUGAUUAAGGAAUAGAAACCUUAAUACACGCAAACUCUUCUCCUGGCGAGGCGCACACAUAUAGCCUUUUACGCAAUUAAAUAUAAUUGCUUCCUUAUCGAAUCAAACAACCAUGCGGAGCUCGCCUCAUCUAGUCUCCUUUUUGCAUGCUAAUUCUCUUCUUGUUUCCUGGUGAAGUCUCCCGUGCGAAGGCAUCUCGCCUCGCUCAAUCUUCUACGUCUCGCCUCACUCAAUCUUCUACGCGAAGUCAGUCCACUUCUUGAUCCCAUGCAAAGUCAUUUUCGCAUGUGAACUCUGCUACCCAGCUCGCCUGAUUUCGUUGGCUGGCCAUCACUUGUAAACCCAAUAUUUCGGGCUCACGGGUGUGGACUAUGAAUUUAACUAAUAUUCACAUGAACAAUUAAUGUCCGGUAAAAUAUUAAUUUGGAUGUAAACUGAGCCCGGUUAGUAAUUUGGUUCAAGACUCGCAAUAAGUUUUAGCUAACAUUUGGGCCAAUACUUGUGGCCCUUUUUAAGUAUGAAGCCCAUUUAGGGUGGCGAGCUUCGGGGGCGCGAGAGGUAGGUUUUGGCAAGGACUGUGAUACCUCGCGAGAUCCUCGUUUCAGUUCACGUAAGAGUCUACAGUGUUUGGCGAAGUGGGGCAGUAAUAGAAGCCUAAACGGAGUCUGUUAUGGACACGUGUCACGUGGAUAAUGCAGUUUGCGAGCAAGGCGUGUCCCUGUGGUAUUCUAAUUGUUGAAUCCGAAUGAGUUUGUGAUUGUAUCUCUAUCAGCUAGUCGCGGGAUGCUAUAUAAAGGAGCUUGAGGAUUAUUCAAUACACACAAUUAAAUCAUACAAAACUACAAACAAAACUUCGAGCAUCCUCGAAACCCUAAGUUCUAAGCGCACCUCGCCUUAGUUCUCAUAGCCCGUUCGGACUCGCCAUUUAUUCCUGAUUAUUGCUCUGCUCGCUCUAACAGUGAGUAUCGAUUCACAUGUGAACAGAGAUUUGCUCGUAAUCCCUCGUCCGCAAGGUGGCACCAGAAACCCUUUCGUUUGAUUAGAAGUCCAGCACAUCGCACUUAUUCUGCGCCCGCGCAGUGGCACGCCCCGCAACCUUGUUUUUUACUUUUGACGUUGCCGGAGUUACAACUCUACCCCUGCUGAGACGCGUAGCCAAAACACACAUAGAACAUUUAGUUAGUAAUGACUAAUGAGUGCGUUCCCUGACAUUCAUAUAAGAUUAUUGAUUUUCAUUUUAACUCUCAUGUAAUUAUUUAAUGAGGACUGAAAUUUACACACCCAUUUUUACAAUCCACACACCCUUACCCCAUUUUUUAUAAGGAAAUAUCUAAAAUGUCCCUAUCCUAGAUAACUUGAAGAGAUUAAAACGUAGAUAAUUUAGAUAUUUCCUCAUAAAAAAUGGGGCAUGAGUGUGUGGAUUGUACCCCUAUUUAAUAUAUAGUAUAUCUCAAAGGUAAUAGAAUUUCACAUCUGUAUAAAAAAGAACAUAACAAUACAACUUUCUAGCUCAAAUAAUUACUUGAUUUUAACAUGGAAAACAUGUUACAUGUUUUACAAAAAUUGCAAGAAGAAAGCAUCUAACUCACUUUUGUUUUUUGACUUUUGUUCAUUUUGAGAAACAUGUUAGUUACACUACCAUUUCCCUUUCUUACAUUUCCAGAAACCUAACCAUUCAACCCAUCCAUCUUUCAAUUUGCUAGAAUCACAGCCCAAUUGCCAUCGAGUUGUUGGCUUGUUGCCUACUUUACCUGCCACUAUCUUUGGAAAGUUUGGCUUCAUGCCCUUGAGGAACUUGAACUUCCAUUAUCUUUUAGCAUUGACCCAUGUAACGAAUUGUCAAAUUUUGCUGCUACAGCAAUCUCCUAGUUAAUCUGGGAAUUUUUAACACCUGGAAAAAUCUAGUCAACGUAUGAAGAUCUGUGCCUAUCAGUUAGCUGUUAAAUUUUGUCUUAGCUCCAUUUGCAAGCAUGAAAAUUGUGAUAUAGAUCAACUAGUUGACUUGAUCUUAUUGUAUUGCUGCUUUGGGGACAGGGAGCAAAAACCACGUGCGUUUUUUUGAAGUAAUUUGCAGCAGGAAGUAGACCAAAAUAAUAUAUUAUUCAACAUAAGCUCCAUAAAACCAAAGGUCCAGCAUUUAACAUCUAACAUCUUAAACUUUCACAAAGCUUUGAUCUUUCAUGUACAGAGCAAGACAGAGUGAGCCAGACAAGUAAAUGCAGAACUGCAGAGAAUGAUAGCAAAAUUGUACUAAACAAAACAACUCAGAAGUUAAAUGCAGCUUUAGGAUUUUCUUACUCCCAAAGCAAACCAGAACCAACAUUCCAUUCUCCCCGGUGAAAAUUCAAAACCACAUCAUUGAAAAUAUGAUACACCUACAAUAGCCUCUUUGCCUCCCAACCACGAACCAACCGAGGAGGAGGAGAUUCCCUCCGCCUCCGGCACAGGCAGAGCUGUCAUACCAGCAGCAGGGUCCUCCAUCAUAAUCGCCUGAUUUUGAUUCUUCUCCAACACGGUGGUCAGCAUGAUCCCGGCGCCUUCGAUCAGCGCCAACAGCACGCCUCCCAUGGCGGCGGACCUCGCCGUCGCGCCCAUCCCCUGCCACAUCGCGAGAAACCCGCCGGUUCCAGGGGUCCUCUUUCUGGCGGAGGUACACCAUCGUGCAGUCGAAGGUGGAGAAAACGCCGCCCCACACGGCGAAGGACCCGCCCACGCGCGGCGCGUUCAUCGGGAGUGCAGAAAGAAGAAAUGGAAUGAAGGAUAGGCUAAGGGGCAGAAAGACAUGGCAAGAGGCAAGUGAAUAGUCGGUACCUAGACUGGUUAGCCAAGGUGUUUAUGGUGUCGAUCCAGUUUUGGCUGCUUUGUCAGCUGGAAGAAGAGAAUUUUAUACGUUGUAUGUUCAGGAAGGCUUGAAUUUGAGCAAUAAUAAUAGGAAGAAGAAGGACAAGAAGGGAUUUGAGAGAGUCUUUAGGAUGGCUGAAAAUUUUGGGGUGACCAUAAAGGAAUUGCGCAAGCAUGAUCUUAAUAUGGCUGCUGAUAAUCGACCCCAUCAGGGUCUGCUUCUAGAUUCUUCCCCAUUGGAGAUGGUUAAAAUUAAGGAAUUGGACCCUAUUUCAGUCGAGGAAGAUAAGGGUAGCUUUGGAUGAGGUUACAGAUCCUCAAAAUUUGGGGGCAAUCAUCAGGUCCUCUUACUAUUUUGGAGCUGCAGGGGUGGUGUUAUGUGCAAAGAAUUCAGCUCCGCUGAGUGGUGUUGUGAGUAAAGCGAGUGCAGGCUCACUUGAGUUAAUGGAGUUGCGAUAUUGCAAGAACAUGAUGCAGUUUCUAACAUCCUCAGCUGAAAAUGGUUGGCGUGUUCUUGGCGGUUCUGUUUCUAGCAAAGCUAUUCCCUUGAAUGAGAUAGUACCUAGUGAACCAACCAUUCUUGUUCUGGGUAGUGAGGGCACUGGGUUGAGGCCUUUGGUGGAAAGAUCUUGCACUCAAUUGAUUAGAAUUCCUGGAAGCAUUCCUGUGGAUGCAACUGCCGGAGGAUUUGAUGAUAGUGAAUCCGUUGAAGUGAAUCAUGGGUGCUCUGCUGAAGAGUUCAGGUCAUUUUUGGCUGUGGAGAGCUUAAAUGUCAAGUGUUGCAGCUGGCGUGCUUCUUCAUCACUUACUGGGAAACAAUGAGAAGAGUGAAGUUCAUGCGGUUGCUCAGCAGAAUAACGGACUGGAUCAAGAUUCUACACCCCAUUAAAUUUAUUAGACUAGAUUAAGCUAGUGUCUUUAUAGAAUGAUUCCCAUUUUACAUUGCUCCGUAUGAAAUGGUCAUUUAUAUUUGCAUCUUUUAGAGUUUUAUCUAGAAGUGGGAAUAGGCAUCCAGUUUUGAUAUUCUUCGAAACUCAUGUCUGAAAACAUGUACCAUAAGCAACUGUACUUUUGGUGGUAACCAAAGUCGAAAUCAUCAAAUUGUCAGUAUCUCAGUUCAUAACAUCAUACUGCUAUAUGCUUUUCGAAUCCUUGGAUUAAUACAUUAAUGUAACUCAUCUUAACUGUUCCAAAAAAAAAAAUGUAACUCAUCUUUUUGUUGGUACAUCAUCUUAUCUGCUCUGUAUCACAUUUUCUGAAACCUCAGAAUCUCAUCGUAUGCGUUCACGUCCAUAAAGAUUAGUUAUCUUCUAGAUUGCUUUCUCCCUCCCAAGUCAAACAUCAAUCGAAGCGAAGUUAGAUGCUUAAAUGAGAUCAUCAGAAUGCUGUCAUCUCAGUUCAUUUUGAAAUUUCCAUCCGAAGUAUGCUUAAUUCUAAAUUGCUACUCAACUAGACUUGCGAGAAAAACUGCCAAUGUGUUUCAUCAACUGUCUGAUGAACUUGAUCAAGAUACAAAAUUUUAUAGACUGUUAUUAUAAUCCUGCAACUACUUGUUAUCAUUGUAAAAACUUUAUGUUAUUAACAUUGAUCUUGGUAUUUAACGACAUAUUACAUUGACUAUGCAUGAUCACCAGAAUCUCUUUUAGGCCACAAGAACAAUGGUCUGUUUGGAAUCUUUCGAAUGCACCAGCAGGAUUGUUAUCCCUUCAGCCUGUUUCACUUAGUUUUGUACUUGCUUGAAUUGUUUCAGAAACCUUGCACUAGCGUCAAGCCGGAGAGAAGUACUAAACUUGCUCCGCCUCAUUAGCCCCGGAUUGUAGCUCUAAUGGUAGCGAAAAUUACUUGACACUUCCGCGAAGCGUUAUUAGAGAAACAUAGCAGCUAGCUAGCUGUUAUUUUCUCCUCUUUAAUCUGCAAGCACUGAUCCAUGCAUGGAAAUCCCAGAAAACUAACAAUCAUCUAUGCCCCCAAGGAAUUUUUGGUACAAGUCUGUAUCAGAGAGACUGGUAGGUUAGCAUUUGUACCCCAUGUGUCUUAAGAAAAGAAAGAAUUGUUCCUUUGCUAAUUAUAAACCUAUCUAUCCAGAAUGAGCUUCUGUCUUUUGCUAACAUGGCCCAACGCCUUCAAAGAUGGCAACAAAAUGUGAAACUGGAGAGCAGGAACUUGUUAAUAUUUUUAGUAUGAUAUAUACUUUCUCUAAUUUGCCAAAAUCCAUUGCCUCCCACAGUUUGGCAUGUAUAUGGUCCAUCCCAGAUGCCUUUUCAUUACAUAUAUGCUAAUAGCUAAACCAGCACUGGACACAACCCACUAAUUAGUCGACACAAAUACCUAAUUAGCAUAAAUCCUUUCCAUUCUCUUCUGAUAAUGACCAACACUAAAAGAAACUUGUAUGAUCCACAGUUUCACCCACUUACUUAACUUCAAGCAGUAACUGCUACUAGAGUUUUGUAAGUAGUUUCGUUUUUGUUCCUUCAAGCUUCACACAUUACGUUACGUCACUAGAUUUAGUGUAGGUUCUCAUGGUUUAAAACGACAUACCAACAACAUAACAUGUUACGCAACAACUCGACAAGAGAUGAUAUUUGCGCAAGACAGAAAUAUCCGAAUGCAGCUAUAUGUUAUGCAGUUAUCCUGGCAUGGUUCAUUUACUUGAAUUUACCAGGAAGUAGUAAUCGUCUGAGUUUGACUAAUAUGCUAAAUGGGGUACAUAUCAUUCCUUUUAGAUUACAAACGUUUCAUAUAUUCAUGAACAUGAUAUAACCUUUUGCUUCAGAUUUUGCUCCCAAAGUCGCCUCUGCAAGUGAAACACGGUUUUCUCUAUCAGUUUGUGCUUAAACUAUUGUGAAUCAUGAUAUGAUAUCAGUUUGAAUUUGAUCCCAAAAGAGAAAUGGAAUAUCCACAAUGUUCAUCUAUAAACUAUCAUUUCGUGGGUCCGAACAUGAUAGUUUAGGGUUUUGGGAGAGAGAGAGGCUCUCGUCUUAUAUCCCCUUUUAUUGGUGUCAUCUUCUGUGAAUUAUCACACAUUCGUUGCCAAACCAUCUUGAUCUUCCAAAACCCUCUCUCGCCUUGAAUUCUUGAGGAGAGGAGCAGCGGCAUACUCGGUCUUUUCCCUUCGAACUGGUGCAGGACAGGUUUUAACCAAGAUAUGCAGAACCUCCCUCAUAGAAGGCCUGUUAGAAGGAUUUUUCUCAGUGCACAUUAUGCCGAGUUUGAAGACAGCAUUCAUUUCAUCCAUGUAACAAGGUUCUUUGACGUCCUGGUCCAGAGCAUCGGCGAUAGGUUUGCCUUCUUGAGCAUGUCGCCACGCCCCUUCGGCAAGAGAAGUGUGCACAUCAAAGGGCCAAACGGCUAAAGUGAUUUGAUAAUCAUUAACAUAGGAAGGUGAUGUUUGAUGUGAAUGCAAUAACACAAAAUGAAACAGCUUAGCAUCUUCUUCCCAAGUGUCGCUUCCACUUUGUUUAAUGGAUGACUUUCCUCUUUCUAAUCGCACAAUAACAAAGGGGAGAUGAACUUAUUGAUACUAUGAAGAUUUUUGGUUUGAUAUGUGACAAAUGACAUUGGAAGUAUCAUACUUUGUUGGAAGUAAUUGAGAUUCAGAUUUGAUGCAUGUGGUUUUUUCAUCCCAUGAACGACAAGAAUUGACCAACUUCUGGUUUUGACAACAUAUUCUUUGAAUUUUGUUACUUAUUUGCACCUUGAGCGUUGUUGUACGUGGUUUUUCCUACCACGUGGUUAGGGGGGCAGCCCAAUAACAAUCCAACAAAUUUUUCAGAUUAGAAAAGUCUUCGACUAGUUUUUAUUAUAAAAAUCUUCAUUAGAAUGACUUUCAUAAAUAAUAAUCUUAGAAUGUGCGGAUGAGCCUAUGAGUUAAAGAUUCAAGUUCAUGUAAGCACUUUUGGAUGACAAUCAAGAAUCCAAUAGCUUAUUCUCCUACGGGCAACUAAAUGAUCCCAAGGCAAACUUAAUAACAACCAGGAUCAAAGACCAGAUGUCAUGCAUAGGGUACAAUGAAGCAUACAAGGUGUAUUAGGCCCAAAAAUGGGCAAUUAAUUAUCAUGUUGGUUCUUUUAAUUCGUUAUCAUGUUGUUUCUCAUGCAUUAAGUUUUAUUAUAAAUUAAGAGGCUCGUUUUAUCACUUUAUGAACACAUUUUACCACAUGUGAACUCAUGUGGUAACUAAGAAUAUUUACAAACUCAUGUUACCACAAUGAGACUAAAUGACUUAAUCACUACUUUCCUGACACGUUUUACAACUUUACGAUAAUUAUAUGCAUGUCAUGUGUAUAAUUUUCCACACAAAUCAGCUGUCGUCAUAGAAUAGUUACUCUGGCAUGAGCCUUUAUUUACUUUCCAAAAAAAGUUGAUUGAGAAAAAUAAAACUUUUAUGUUUUGUUUCUCGUACGGUAAAAUAAAACUCAAUCAAAUUAAUAUAAAAAGUUGAAAACGAUUGAUUCAAAUAAUGAGCGACCAAUAUAAGAAACAAAACAACACAAACAAGCCCAAGACACAAAAACGCUCAAACAAAACGAUUCUAGAGGAUAAACUCUUGUGCUGCAUCUUUAGAUCAAAAUAAAAUAUGUAUCCCAAUCCCAAAGGCAAGUGCUGGACUACGCUAUGUUGAAGUGGGGUCAGCCACGUGGCAUAAUAAUGUCCACGAAUCUUGAAUUCGAAGGGCAACUAGAUAGUUUACAAUUUAACUUUCGUUAAUAGUGAAACAACCCCGUUAUGAUGAAAAUUUAAGAACAUUUAAGUCAGGUAAUUCUAGCUAGCAUAUUGAUCUCUUUAAUGUUUAAAGAGUAAUAGGCCUAAUGUUUAAAGAGAAACCAUGGUCAUUACUCAUCAGCUUGAUCAACCGCCAUCAUCCUCUUCUUUAAAGAUUGGGAUGAGAUGAUGUCGAUCGAUGGUGUGAAAAAACAAAAACCAGUGAGAGGUUCCCCACUCUUCUUUGAUCCGUCUCCGCAGACCAUGUUGUCCCCGAUCGUGAUCUCCAAGGUCGCCGCAGCUCCAUUUGAACCAAGACCUUCGGCCUCGCUUGCUGCGCCGUCUAGAUGGUGCACAUCGGAGCUGCUCGCUACUAUUUGGAGUGCGGUAUCAUUUUCCAGCACAGCCCACGCUAGCCGAUUGCUUGAUCGUCGUCGCCGGUAUUCUCACCGAUUAGGUGUUGGUGAUGGGAGAGAGUCAUAUUACAGAGGAUGAUAUUGAGACAAUGAUUGGGAAAACGAUAAGGAAGCAAAAGCCAGAAAGAAUUAGAGUUGAUCUCAUGGGACUUAUGGUUUGGGGUUGACAUAAACACCCUCAUUAUUUUUCUUUUACAAGUGAUUUUUACUGUUAACGGAGUUAAAUCUGAAAUUUACUUAUAUAUCAUUCGAAUUCCAAUUUUGUGGACAGUAUUACGCCACGUGUCAUGUCUUUCUUCAGCGUACAGUACGCUGACGUAGUCCAACGCUUCCCAAUCCCAAAUUAGGAUUACACAACCAACAUAUAUUACGAGAAGUGAGAAUAAAACGUAUUUUUCAACACUUCUUGGAAAUGAAGUUUCUAGUCGCGCGACAAUAUGAUCUCUUCAUCUAAAACAUCGCAGCCAUUCUAAUCUCAGUAAUCUCCUCAUAUCAAAUGAGCUAAGAUGAGAUUACAUGUCAAACUUAAGCUUUGUGUGGGAGAGAGAGCAGUUGAGCUACCAUGGAGCAAGGACAGGAAUUCUCAAACUUCAUUGGGUUGGGCCCUCUCAAUGCCCAUCUACUAAUCCCAAUUACAAUAAAAGCACUACUAGCUGCUCAAGGAAAAAAACAGCCCUGCUAGUUAUAAUAAAUUUCUCAUUAUACACAACCAAAUAUCAUAAAUUUUUGUUUUUAUGAGAAGAAAUCCCUAACUUCUUGAGUGUGUGGAAAUCACAUUUCUUGUCAACUCAGGACAGGUUUUAACCAAGAUAUGCAGAACCUCCCUCAUCGAAGGCCUGUUAGAAGGAUUUGUCUCAGUGCACAUUAUGCCGAGUUUGAAGACAGCAUUCAUUUCAUCCAUGUAACAAGGUUCUUUGACGUCCUGGUCCAGAGCAUCGGCGAUAGGUUUGCCUUCUUGAGCAUGUUGCCACGCCCAUUCGGCAAGAGAAGUGUGCACAUCAAAGGGUCCUCUACCAGUCGUCAACUCGAGCAGGACGACCCCGAAACUGUAUACGUCAAUCUUCUCAUUCACUCUUAAGGAACGUGCGUAUUCUGCAUUCAAAUUGAAAAGAUCAGUUUAACUAAACUUGGUCACAGAAAAUCACAUUUCUCAGGAACUAACUUGAGUAUUUGUGUGUAUAGGUUAUUACCUGGAGCCAUGUAGCCAAAGGAGCCAGCAACAGCUGACAUUGUGGCAAGGUCUCCUUUCUUGACUAACAUCUUGGCAAGACCAAAAUCUGCUAUUUUCGCGUUGAAAUCAGAAUCCAACAGAAUGUUACUUGAUUUAACGUCUCGAUGAAGAAUGGGUGGAACACAGUCAUGAUGCAUAUAGCAGAGGCCCUUAGCAGCUCCCACUGCAAUCUGCAACCUCUUAGGCCAGUCCAGGACAACAUGAUGAACUGAACUUGAGAGGUUGGAUAGGGAUGGCCUGUUUUUCUUGUGCAACCAUCGGUCUAGGCUGCGAUUGUCUGAGUACUCAUAUACAAGAAGUUUCGAACUCUCACUGGAAAUGCAGCACAUCAGCUUCACUAUAUUGGCAUGUCGAAUUGAGCUCAGUAUCUCGACUUCUGCAAGAAACUCUUUUUCAAGCCUAUCCUCCAUGAUCUCCUUGUUGAUCCAAAUCCUCUUUGCAGCUACAACAUCACCUGUAUUAUUCACAGGUACACGAUAAACCUUCCCUGAUCCACCUUUUCCAAUCACAUUGCCUUCUGUCAACCCUGACAAGAUUUCUGAAGAGGUGAAACUGAGCUUCUGAAAUGAAGUGAGUUUCCAGUUUGCGUCUGAUCCAUCCUUCUUUCUCCUGUAUCCUCUAACACAGAAGACUAUUAAGAACAGAACCAACAGGAACAACACCGCGCAUAGACUUAAGAUCAAAGCUAGAGACAGCUUUGAAAUCUUGCUGGAGGUUGGUGAUCUAGAGCAUAUAUUGACAUUCAACCAACUGGUGCUUGCACAUAGACCAGUAUUGUUCAAGAAGCUUCUCUCAUUCGCAGAGUUUUCAAGUGAAGUUGGUAUCUCGCCAGUGAGGAGAUUUGAAGACAGGUUUAAAUUGUUGAGUUUCAGAAUGGCAAGUUGAUUUGGAAUCUCGCCAGAAAAUUGGUUUUCUGAAAGGUCCAACUCAGUAAGAGAUGGCAAAACACCAAGUUCCUCUGGAAUUGGUCCGGAGAGUUGAUUUCUGCUCAGAUCAAGAAUGUUUAGUGACUCCCAUGAUACAAUAUCUGAUGGAAGUGGCCCGCUAAGCCGAUUCUGAUGAAGGAGAAGACUCGCCAACCUCGGAAGAGUAGUUAAUUCCUGAGGAAUAGUGCCAUUCAAGAGGUUGUUACCAGCAUCAAAAGAUUGCAGCUUCUUGCAGGAAGACACCCCUCUUGGAAUCUGACCUGAAAACUUGUUGUCAGCUAUAUCCACCCAUAGAAGAUUAUGUGACAUCUUCUCAGGAAGCUCACCGGUAAGUGAAUUGUUGCUCAUCAGCACAUAACUCAAGUUCAAUGCAUUCCACAUACCAUUAGGAAUGUCCCCAGAUAACUUGUUAUCAUAAACUGCGACUGUCAUCAGACUAUCACAAUUUUCAAGAGAGCUUGGUAGCCCCCCAGUGAGACUAUUCUCAUAAGCAACAACUCCCACAAGCUUACCAUUUUUACACAAACCGUCUGGCAGCUUCCCGGUAAGCCUAUUCACCGAAACCUGGAAGUCUUCAAGCGGCGAAUGCUUACCAAGCUCUGGAGGAAUUGUACCUGACAAGUUCAUGUUGAACAUUUUGAAAAUCAGAAGAUUUGGCAGGAGGCCAAUUCCCUCUGGAAUCUCACCUGAAAUACCACCAUUGUAGAACAAACUCAUGUCUGUCAACUUAGUAAGAUUUCCGAAACCUUGUGGUAUUGGCCCUGUGAGAUUGUUCUCUGAGAUGUUGAUGAUGGUCAAGUUGCAUGCUUCAACCACUUGAGGAAUCACCCCUGAAAAUCUGUUCUUGAAGAGAUAGAUAAUGCUCAAAUGCUUCAACAGUAACACACCCCUUGGUAUUUUCUCGCUCAAGUUGUUUGUCGACAUAUCCAAUUCUUCAAGUGCUUCCAUUUCUCCAACAGACUCCGGUAUCUCUCCUAUCAAAUUCGCUUCACGAAUCCUCAAUAUCUUCAUCUUUUUGAACUUGGUGAAUUCAAAAGGAAGCUUCCAUGGCGCCAUUUUGGGAAGCCAAGAGAGCCAGAGGAACUCAAGGUUGGAGAGGUUACCUAUUUCUGCAGGGACAGAGCCGUUGAGCUGGUUCAUGUAUAUAUGCAAAGUUGUCAGCUCCUUUAAGUUCCCAAUAGAGGCAGGAAUGUCACCGGAGAAGUUGUUCCUGGCGAGGAUGAGCGUCUGAAGCUUAGGCAAUCUGUCGAUGCCAUCAGGAAUAGUUCCCACAAAGUAGUUCUGCGAGAGGUCUAGGUACUCUAACUUGGAGCAGUUGUAGAGAGACAAGGGAAAAUCUCCCGGGAGGUAGUUAUCACCAAGGUCAAGGUGUGUGAGGUUGUUGAGGUCACAAAUGAAGGAUGGAACUUGAAGGGUGAGGUUUACGUUGUAGAGAACUAAUCUGGUAACGGAGUUCUCGGUGCAGGUGAUCUCUGGCCAGCUACAGUGGGAGCUAGAGUUUGAUGAUGAAGUCCAAUGGCUGAGGGCCGGUGGAGAUAGCCAAUAUGACUUUAACUUAAGCAGGACUACUAGUUCCUUGUCUUGAAGGGACUGAGAGUUGGCAUGAAUGAGGAAGAUGAAGAAGAGAAGGGUGUAGAGAGAAGGGUUUGGUAUAGUCAUUUGGAUAUGGAGGUCUGAAACCUCAGACCUCAGGUUUCAGAGGUGUUUCUGAACUUUUGAGGAUGGAUGAUUUAGAACAAAACAAGAUAUACAGUUAGGAACUUAUGAUCAAAUCAUUUUGAGAGGUGUGAAAGCCAGUGGUGGAUCCAGGAUUUCAACCCCAGUUGGGCUUGAACUUCCUAACCAAGAAAAAAAAUAAGCAUGAAACGAAUAAAUAACAUCACAUUACAAUUAUGCGUGUGAAAAUUAAGUUUUAAUUCACACAACCUUAAAUCAUAAUUCCCUGCAUCUAUGAUGCUUAGCCUCCAACAUCAAUCAACAGAAAACUUAGAAAUCGUAACCCAAAGUCCCUAACUCGAUUCAACACUCUAAAUUUCAACAAAUUGUAUUCAUACACAUCAAAUUCCAAACAAUUAUAAUAACAGUAACAACUAACAACAAUUCAAUACAGCCUAAAAACCCAGUCAAACACAACAUGAGCUAAUUCCAGCUUCUCUUGAGUCUUGAGUAAAGACUAAGGAGAUUAGGAGAAGCAGAUCUAUUAAAGUGAGAAAGAGGACUCACGGAGCCACGGACGGAGGGCUUAACGGAGGUAAACGGUGGAGCCGUGGUCGUGGAGGACUGGAGGGCCUGGAGGGAGUGGACUAGUGGAGGCGGCGAGUCGAUGUGAGACACUGACAGUGAGACUGUGAGAGGAAGAGAGAAAUCGGAGAAUGAGAGAAGACUCAGAAGAGAAGAGAUGCUGGGAACUGAAAAGGAUUAGCCGAUUAGGGAUUAGGCCAUUAGGGUGGGUAUAUCAAAAAAACAAAAAAAAAAACAUGGGUUGAGCUUGGGUAUAUAACACAAAAUAAAAAUUUGGCCCAAAAUUCUUGGUUGGGCUUGAGCCCCAAGGCCUGUACUGCCUCCUCCCCUGAUCAUGGCAUUUGGCAACUAGUAGCGUGCGAGGGUGCCCAGCGAGGAAACACGUGGAGCGCGCACAGGACGACCCCACCAUGCUUAUCGUUACCUACGAAGCCGAGCACCGUCACCCUCACCCGCAGCCUAACUCAGUCCCCGCCGGUGCUGUGGGUCUCGUGUUCCAAUCAUCUUGAUGAGGAAACAGUGGUGUAAGUGAACGUGACCGUUGAAAAAGCGCCGUGACAAUGGAGCUGUGGAACAGCAGGUGAAGUUAGAAGCCCACUGACAGUCAAACGAAGAAAAGUCGAUGUCAAAAAUAUACGGUGUAAUUGGGGAAGGGAGAGGGGUAUGGAUUGUAAAUUACGAAAGAAAGAAGGGUGGAAUAUAAUUUUGUGGAUCUUGAAAUAUUAAAUUAAUUCUUUUUUUUUUGUUUGCUUUGAUGAUGGGUGUUUGGAUUCGUUGAAAUCUAGUCACGCGCGCAAAAAUUCAAAAAGGGAGAAAGUGGGGUUUGUCAACAUCAUUAUGACCCGCUCUUUCCCGCGCGAGAUUUAUGUUCAUAAUUUUUCUUUCUUAUUUCUCAUUUUUAAUGUAUUAAGGUGCAAAAUCUAUAUAAAUUUAAUUUAAAAUAUUUAACAAUAAAUCACUUAUCAUAAUAGUAAAAAUAUAUCUUUUAUGUUUUUUCUCCUUGAUUAUUUCUUUCAUUUUUUUCCUAAUCUACUUUUUUCAUCAAAGAUAGAACAGAGCAAAUUUUAUAGGGUCUUUUGUAGAUAAUGUGUGAACUGCGAAACCUAAUCUAUUCUUUUUUUUUCAGCCAAAAAAAAAAAUGGCCCGAGCCCAAAACUGUUUUUUACUGUAUAUAAACAGUAAAUCACUGUAAAUGAACAGUGAUCAACAAAUAGAUAUAUAGUAAAUAACUUACUUUUAUCUAAUUUACUUGCGAUGAAUUAACCGACUCUAACAAUAGAAGAACUAUGGUUACGAGAAGUGUAGGGAAAAUCAGUCAGGCCUUUCUUGGCUGCUAUGCUAGUGCUUCGCUUGUACGAGCCUUUUCAUCCCUAAGAAAGAACAAUGGGUAGUCCAAGUUAAGUCUCGCACUGCCUAAAAUGGAUCUGCUAAUUUUUCAGGAAAAGGGUGAAAAUGCAACUGUCAACUACUGUAAAUGGGUGAAAACCGAAGUCUCACGGUCUCACCUACUCUAAAUGCUCUCCCCAUUGCUAACAGUGAAAGCAAACCACAACAUGGUGAAGAGCCAAUGCAUAGAUAUCACUCCAAUGACAGUACAAACUAGACCUACAUAGCUCCUAUACGAUUGAGUUUCCCAACGAGGAUGGGAAUAGCUUUCACACAAUGUAACAGCUGCAACAAAAGGCAGAAUUCAUUUCCCUUUUCCGGAGUCCUACAUUAGUUUCUGAUAAUGCCAACUCCACUAAAUCUCGUUGGUGAAGCCUUAUUGCUGAACUACAUACACAUCAAUGGAAAUGCAUGAGUUAGUCAAAUUUCACAGAAGAAUAGAUCUUCCUAACAAACCAGAAGCAGGCGCAGAAGCCUAUUGUCCCCGUCAGGACAAAGAAUGCAAAGGAUCCCAUUAACAUGUACCCGAAAUAGAUGAUGACAGGAACAAACUUCUCAAUCUCCAGAGGGGUGAAGAAAUAGAAUGUGGAGUAUGCAAACAUGUACAGACCAGAGGAGCCAAUGGUCAAGUAUGCUCUCCACCACCAAUUGUAAUCUUCGCUGCGAAGUUGGAAGUAGCACAGUAGAAUUGCCAUCUCGGAACAAGUGACUAGAAGUAUAACAAAUGUCAUGAAGAGGAAGCCAAAAGAGUAUUGGUCUGGCCAUAUAGAAUUCCAGAUAGAGAGGAACUCAUUGAGCACUACAUUAAGUGGUAGAAUGGCUGCGAAGAGCACAGACAAGAGCUGCUUUAUUUUGUGCCAAGGUCGUUCAGGAAUCUGUCUUGGGAUUUCAUUAGUUUUAACAGGAUCAUCAAUUGGUGGUCUUUUGAACCCCAAGUAGCUGCCUAAGAAAACCAAUGGCGCCGAUAUCCCAAACCACAAGAGCAGCAGAGAAAACAUUGUCCCAGAUGGCAUUGCACCUGAUGAUUUCUCCCCCCACAUUAAGACAUUUAACAUGAAAAGUAUUCCGAAAAAUGUAGCAGGCAACAUAAAGGCUGUCUUGAAUGCAAUCUUCUUCCAAUGCGUGCCUUUAAACAUCUUGAACAAGCGCGCCGAGUAGUAUCCCCCAAAUAAGCCCAUGAACAUCCACAAAAGAACCAUUGCUGUAAUCAACCCACCUCUGUUUGAAGGUGAAAGGAAACCAAGCAAACCAAAGAUGAUUGCGGUGAGCAUCAUCCCAAAGAGUUGGACACCAUUGCCAACACAAACACACAAUAAAGUAGCAUUGUGGGGUGUCCUGAAAACAUCACCAUGGACUACUUUCCAUCCUAGUAGUUCCUGAGCCUCAUCUUGUGUCUCCAACUGAUUGUAGAUGUUGAUAUCCUUGUAAAGAUUUCUCACCACAACCAUGGCUACUACUCCAGAAAGAAGAAGCAGAGUCCACAAUGAGUUGAUCAAAGAUAACAAUUGGAUUUGAUUACCACUGGAGAGGUACGAGUCCCAUCGCGAUUCCCACUCUACAUCACUGGACUGAACAGAUGGAUGUAUGCAAAUAAGAAACUGAACAGCAUUGAAGAGAAUAUGAACAAGACUACAGGCUGAGAUAUUAGGCUACCUCAAACAAUACGUCAUAUGAGAAGACAACUUCUUUAUCAGUAUCAACCUCUUGUGGUAAGCCACUGAUUAAAAGGUCAGAAUUGCUUGUGCAGGUGAACAACUCAGUUUUCUCAUUUUCCCACUUCUUGUACUCAUGAUUAACACUGUUUACAAUAGAACGAACAAAGAAUUUAUAGCUACUACUAGAACAGUAUAAGAACACUAAUGACAAAAAAAUGAAGAUUUUUAGAUUGAAGUUUUAACUAGAUUCUGAACCUGUAUGGUGUAAUCUCAAAACCAACAAUGCGGGAAAACUUAGUCACUGGAUCCUCAUGGUACGUGACGGUGAAUCUCAGGUGGUUGUAAAUGAAAUGUCUUUCCUCGUUACCCUGUGCCAGUGAUUUAAACGUUAACAAGAAGUAACAAAACAUUUCUUCAAAAUCAAAUAACAUGAGAAGAUGAACAAGACCACUUCAGUAGCAUAGCCAUAGUCCUUCCAGCCAACUGGCACUUCAGUAGCAUAGCCAUAUUCCUUCCAGCCAACUGGGAGUGCAUUUACUGCUAUCUUUGUUUUAUUCCCAUGCCACUCACUCACGUCGAAUGUAACUGCAGCAGGAAGAUCAUCAAGAAUCCUGCAAAACCAUGACAUAAAAAAAAAAGGGCAAAUUAUAAUCAGUUAAUGCUUUUGAAAAAUAUCAGCAACACUUUGCAAUGCAAAUAUAUGUAUAUAUGUAUAUGACUAUACGUCUAUAUGUAUAUACACAAACCAGAAGAUGAGAGAAACAAUACACUGAUACUCACAUAUUAUGAUAAACAUUCUCGAAACACUCACAUAUUAACUCCAUAUCCAUCAUCAAUUUUCUCCUUGAACUUUUUGGCAGAAGUAGCUUCUAGUUUCACACGGCAUGCAACUUUGCAGUAUUCUGUCUCUCUCAUCUUAAGCUGAUGCACAUAACAGAACAGUUAUCGACACGGUUAACACUUAAAAACAUGUCACAAGCUUAGAAACCAUGCAUCUGGUUAGGAAGUGCACACCCACAGUAUAGACUGAAUUCUUGAUGAGGUCACCUCGAAGAACUUCUCCAAGGCUUAAAGCACUGUUGAUGAUUACUGGGGGCUUGCAGUAACUAAGGGAAUAGUAGUCAUAGGGAAGCGGUGUCGUGGAUGAUAGCUUAUUAACCUUCACUUCCAUAGUAUCUCCCUGCAAUAACAUACACCAAUUCCAUAACUCAUAUGAUAACAAAACUGCAGUUGUGUACAAAAACAUGAGUAGUACACUGAUGAUUUCCUCUAAUUCUCAGAAACACAGAAGGGUUAAGCUUUUGAAACUAAGGAAAGAACCAGAACCAUCAUGCGGUUACCUUCUUAAAAUCCUUAGGUACAUCGCCAUAGAAAGAGUGAGACCAAGGAAACAGUGAAAGUAGAAGGACAAAGAAGAAGAAGAGGCUGCCCAUUCUUUUUUAACUUGAGAAGAACAAGCCUGAAUGAAUCACACUCGAUCUGAUAGUCUGUGUAGUAUACUAUAAAUCUGCAUCCUUGUUGACUUCGUUGCAGACGUGCCCAUGUGUGCUAAUGUGACAGGAACAUGGGAAAACAAAAAUAAUGAUUAUCCAAAACACAGUUCUCACCUAAACACAGUUCAGCCCCCUUGUUGACUUUCUUUUUUUGUAAUGGUGGGCCCCCUCGUUCUCUAAGCCCAGCCCACCUCGAACCGCCUAGACAUACCCAUUGUCCGCCUAGCCCACAGAAACUAUUUUUACUGUUCUUUUUCCAUUUUUCCACUAUAUGAUUUUCAGUGUACAUGGUGGGCCCCAUGCCCGCUAGCCCUACCCACGUGGCCACCGCCUAGCCACAGCAUUGUCCGCCUAGCCCACAUAAAUCAUUAUUAUAAUUCUUUUUUCUUUUUUACCAUAUAAUCUUUUUAACCCAGAUAAUUUUCCCGCCAUCGCUGUUGUACUCUUGGACGGUAAACCUUAGGAUUCCGACGACGGCGGACAUAUCUAGUGAGAGAGAGAGAGAGAGAGAGAGAGAGAGAGAGAGAGAGAGAGAGAGAGAGAGAGAGAGAGAGAGAGAGAGAGUAGUAGUAGUAGUAGUAGUAGUAGUAGUAGUAGUNNNNNNNNNNNNNNNNNNNNAGAGAGAGAGAGAGAUUAAUUUUAAGUUCUGUAGUUGGAUUUUACGGGGUUUCUCCUUAAAUCUGCAACAUUUUUUCUCUAUAGUACUGAGUUUUGUAAAGUUCUAGUUCUCAUUUGCUUCCGAGGAUUUUGACUUCAGGCUUUGUUUAUCAUGAUCAGCAUGAUGACGCAUGUUGUGUUUCAUGAUUGAUCAGGAAACCAACUUGUUAUUAUGUUUUGAUCACAAACCAACAUGGAAGUUCAGGGAACGCUGCUACAUCCAGCGACAUGGGUUAAAUAUAAUUUGCCCACAGAAUCUCAGUAUCUGCAACAUGGUAUCUGCAUCUUUGUUGACUUGUUCUUUAUCCAAUUCAAAAUGUUAUGAUCCCACAUGAUAUCAAAUAUAUUUGCAGAUAUCAUUUUGCAGUUGAAAAUUAGAAAUAUAGGAAAUAUCAGAUCUGGACUAGAGUUUCGUGCAAGGAUAAAGAUUCUUGUCGCCUCAUAAGUCUUGAUCUCUCCAGAUAAAACUACCAAGACAACUCCUUACAACAUAGUAGCAUGAAUGUAUAUGAACUCCUUUUGAUCUCAUUAAGCCUUGCUAAUUACAAAUCAUACCAGGAAAAUCAUGCUACCAACAAAUGAGUUUCCUAAUUAGAAUGGGGAUAGCUUCCUCACAGUGUAAUAGUUGGCAGGAAGAGGCACGGUUUGCCUCUUUCUUGAGUCAAUACAUUAGUUUUUGAUAGUCCCAACUUCUAGAUCUGGAACUUGUUUAUAGGCUGAACUACAUCCACAUUGCUGAUGGCUAUGGUUCAGUCAAACUUCACAGAAGAAUAGAUCUUCCUAACAAACCAGAAGCAUGCACAGAAGCCGAUUGUCCCAGUCCAGAGAAAGAAUGCAAAGGAUACAAUUAACAUAUACCCAAAAUAGAGGAUGGUAGAAACAAAUUUUUCAAUCCACAGCCUGAAGAGGGUAUGCAUUUUUGUUCAAGCUGACAAUUGGGUCAAUAACACUACAACCGGUUAUUGUGUCAUUUGAUCGAGGUAGAAGGCUCUGAGUAUAUAUGCAUAGCUGUGAGUAUCUGCAUCACCAUCUUUGACUUUGAAUCUGCGAAGCUUCCUGUACUGUGUGUCCACUGAGACCAAAAAAAAGAAAAGAGAAAAAAAAGGAUUAAUUUCAGUUUACCCUGAGGUUUAGGGUUAACAUCAUUUCAGUCCUGAUACUUUUAAUUUUGAAAGUUUACCCCUAAAGUUUCUAAUUUUCAUAAAUCAAGCCCAAUUACUAAAAUUCCGUCCGGUUUAGAGGUUAAUUGCUAUCAUAAAAUCUUAGAAAAAAUGUCAUAAAAAACGAUUUAUGUUGUUAUAUGACUAUGUAAUUAACCCUUUUAGUGAGUUAUGAAGUCAAGAUUAAUGUCCAAAUUAGACGGAAUUUCAGUAAUUAAACAUAAUUAAUGAAAAUUGAAAACUUUGGAAGGUAAAAUUAAAAAUAUGAGGACUGAAAUGAUGUUAAUAUUAAACCACGUGGGGAUAAACUGAAUUUAAUCCAAAAAAGAAAUAACGAGGGGAACAGAAUCCGGAGAAACCGAGGAGCUUGAGAUUCUCUUAGGAUGAAUAGUCAUAACUACGCCCGCGUAUCAAUAGCAUGUUGCCGAAGUCCUCAUGGAUUAGUCUAACUUGACAGAGGAGUAGAUCAUCGUAACAAACCAGAAGCAUGCAUAGAAGCCGAUUGUCCCAGUCAAGACAAAGAAGGCAAAGGAUACCAUUAACGUGUACCUGAAAUAAAGGAUGACAGAAGCGAACUUUUCAAUCUCCAGUAUGGUGAAGAAAUAGAAUAUGGAGUAUGCAAACAUGUAGAGAGCAGAGGAGCCAGCAGUCAAGUAUGGUCUCCACCACCAAUGGUAUUCUUCGCUGCGAAGUUGGAAGUAGCAGAGUAGAAUUGCUAUCUCACAACAAGUGACUAGAAGGAUGACAAAGGAUAUAAAGAGGUAGCCGAAAGAGUAGUAGAAGAGGUCCAUCCAUAUGCAUGUCCAGAUAAAGUAGAACUCCAUGAACACUGGUCCAAACUGUAUAAUGCCUCCGAUGAGCACAGACAAUACCAUCUUUGAGUUGUACCAUGCUCGCACUGGAAUCUGUCUUGCAAUUUCAUUGGUAUUGACUGGAUACUCAAUUGUUUGCAUUUUGAACCCCAAGUAACUGCCUACAAAUACCAAUGGUACUGAUAUUCCAAACCACAAGAGCAGCAGAGAAAACAUUGUUCCAAACGGCAUUGCAAUAGAGGAUCUCUCUCCCCAAAUGAAGGUAUUCAACAUGAAGAAAGUCCCGGAAAAUGUAGCAGGGAACAUAAAGGCUGUCUUGAACGCAAUAUUCUUCCACUGCGUGCCUUUAAACAUCUUGAACAAGCGCGCCGAGUAGUAUCCCCCAAAUAAGCCCAUGAACAUCCACAAAAGAACAAUUGCUGUAAUCAACCCACCUCUGUUUGAAGGUGAAAGGAAACCAAGCAAACCAAAGAUGAUUGCGGUGAGCAUCAUCCCAAAGAGUUGGACACCAUUUCCAACACAAACACACAAUAAAGUAGCAUUAUGGGGUGUCCUGAAAACAUCACCAUGGACUACUUUCCAUCCUAUUAGUUCCUGAGCCACAUCUUGUGUCUCCAACUGAUUGUAGAUGUUGAUAUCCUUGUAAAGAUUUCGCACCACAACCAUGGCUACUACUCCAGAAAGAAGAAGCAGAGUCCACAAUGAGUUGAUCGAAGAUAACAAUUGGAUUUGAUUACCAGUACCACUGGAGAGGUACGAGUCCCAUCGCGAUUCCCACUCUACAUCACUGGACUGAACAGAUGGAUGUAUGCAAAUAAGAAACUGAACAGCAUUGAAGAGAAUAUGAACAAGACUACAGGCUGAGAUAUUAGGCUACCUCAAACAAUACGUCAUAUGAGAAGACAACUUCUUUAUCAGUAUCAACCUCUUGUGGUAAGCCACUGAUUAAAAGGUCAGAAUUGCUUGUGCAGGUGAACAACUCAGUUUUCUCAUUUUCCCACUUCUUGUACUCAUGAGUAACACUGUUUACAAUAGAACAAACAAAGAAUUUAUAGCUACUACUAGAACAGUAUAAGAACACUAAUAACAAAAAAUGAAGAUUUUUAGAUUCAAGUUUUAACUAGAUUCUGAACCUGUAUGGUGUAAUCUCAAAACCAACAAUGCGGGAAAACUUAGUCACUGGAUCCUCGUGGUACGUGACGGUGAAUCUCAGGUGGUUGUAAAUGAAAUGUCUUUCCUCAUUACCCUGUGCCAGUGAUUUAGAGGAUAACAAGAAGUAACAAAACAUUUCUUCAAAAUCAAAUAACAUGAGAAGAUGAACAAGACUCACUUCAUACGCAUAGUUCUUCCGCCCAACUGGGAGUGCAGUUACUGGUAUCUUUGAUCUAUUCCCAUGCCACUCACUCGUGUCGAAUGUAACUGCAGCAGGAAGAUCAUCAAGAAUCCUGCAAAACCAAGACAUAAAAAAUUCAAAAUGGGCAAAUUAUAAUCAGUUAAUGCUUUUGAAAAAUAUCAGUAACACUUUGCAAUGUAUAUAUACGAGAACAUUACACUGAUACUCACAUAUUAUCAGAAACAUUCUCGAAAUACUCACAUAUUAACUACAUAUCCGUCAUCAAUUUUCUCCUUGAACUUUUUGGCAGAAGUAGCUUCUAGUUUCACACGGCAUGCAACUUUGCAGUAUUCUGUCUCUCUCAUCUUAAGCUGAUGCACAUAACAGAACAGUUAUCGACACGGUUAACUCUUAAAAACAAGUCACAAGCUUAGAAACCAUGCAUCUGGUUAGGAAGUGCACACCCACAGUAUAGACUGAAUUCUUGAUGAGGUCACCUCGAAGAACUUCUCCAAGGCUUAAAGCACUGUUGAUGAUUACUGGGGGCUUGCAGUAACUAAGGGAAUAGUAGUCAUAGGGAAGCAGUGUCCAUGUGGAUGAUAGCUUAUUAACCUUCACUUCCAUAGUAUCUCCCUACAAUAACAUGCACCAAUUCCAUAACUCACAUCAUAACAAAACUGCGGUUGUGUACAAAAACAUGAGUAGUACACUGAUGAUUUCCUCUGAUUCUCAGAAACACAGAAGGGUUAAGCUUUUGAAACUAAGGAAAGAACCAGAACCAUCAUGGGGUUACCUUCUUAAAAUCCUUGGCUACAUCGCCAUAGAAAGAGUGAGACCAAGGAAACAGUGAAAGUAGAAGGACAAAGAAGAAGAAGAGGCUGCCCAUUGUUUUUCAACCUGAGAAGAACAAGUGAAUCAGACUCGGAUAGUCUGUGUAGUAUACUAUAAAUCUGCAUCCUUAAUUGUUGACUUUGUUGCAGACGUGCGUACAUGUGUGCUAAGGUGACAGGAACAUGGGAAAACUAAAAAAUAAUGAUUCUGAGAAUAUCACCCAGACGUCGUGGUUUCAGCAUCACCCACAGAACACAGCUUGGGCUAAAAGAAGUCUGGGUCGAGUUUUUUUAUUUUCUGUAAUGGUGGGCCCCCUUGCCCGCUAAGCCCAGCCCACCUCGAACGGCCUAGACAUACCCAUGUUCCGCCUAGCCCACAGAAACUUUUAUUACUGUUUUUUUCCAUUUUUCCACUAUAUAUUUUUCAGUGUACAUGGUGGACCCUUGCCCGCUAGCCCUACCCAGGUGGCCACCGCCUAGCCACACCAUUGUCCGCCUAGCCCAUAUAAAUUAUUAUUAUAAUUAUACCCGAACUUUGAAACUCAUUUCAAAUAAAUACCACAUCUUCAUAUUCUUUCAAAUAAAUACUCGAGUUAUGCAAAAUCCUACAAAGUUUUAAUUCCUUUAUACAUUCCGUUAAACGAACCGUUAACUUGUCUACGUGGCAUGUGUGACGUGUCAAUUUCUUUUGACUGGACCUGUCAACAAGGGUAUUUUAGACCACCAAAAAAUUUAGUUUGCACGUUUUCAUUCCCUCACUAUCGCCCUUAACCUUAAAUUGUCAGUCCUCUCCGUUGAGUUUGCACGUUUUCAUUCCCUUAACCCUAAGGUCAACAUUUUGGCCAACAAAACUAUAAUACAAAGGGACUCAAAAUGAGAAUCAACUUAAUCAUUAAAGAACUUGAUUGCAUGUAAACGAAGUCUUGUACGGAGCCAACUUGUUUACAACAUUGAAAAAAAUGCUCCAAAGCCUAAUCUCUACUACAUCGAAGUCUGAAAACUUGAAAGCAUAAUAAUUGAAACUGAAAAGUUCAAUCAACCAAAAUAACCAAAACCAAAUGCAAAGACAAAUUAGAUGAUCAGAUGAUGCCAAGGUGAUUCAUCAUGACUUCGAAGUCUGGAGAUUACAUUCAUAUCAAAGUAAUAUAGGUUCAUAAUUAUGCCUUCUUUGGUGGUCUUCCUCUUUUCCUAGCAUUAGAUGUACAAGCCGUCGAUGCUUGGCUUGCCUGUUCAAUGACAUUAAUUGCAUAGAUAUUCAGUUAAGUUCAAAUACAAAACUAGUCAGUAAUUUUAGCAGUUUAAUAUAAGAAAGGAAUACCUGAGUAGAGGGUGUUGAUGAUUUUCUACCAACAUUACGUUGCAGAGGUGCAUGAGUAGUGGAUGGUGUUAGUGGAGUUGGUCUUGUAGAAGAUGAGGAAAAUGGUACAGCUCCUCUUGCAGAUGUAGAUGUAGAUAUUGAAGUAGUUAUUGGUUGUAGCUAAAAAUACAAAGCAUUACAAACUUCAUAAGAAAAAACCAAGUACGUACAUAUAUGCAUGCAUUGAUAGAUUCAUUUUAAAAUUUUUCUUGGUUCACAAUACUUGAUAGGACAUAUGACACCAGCAGGCAACAAUUAAAAUCAUAAUUUUCAGCUAAAUUAAAGGUGAAAUUCAGCACAACUAAUAACUUACUGUAGCAGCUGCACUGAUUUGUGGAUUUUUUUCUUGGCCUUCCUCUUGGUUUUGGGGCAGGCUUUUGUUUUGGAGGAAGAUGUCGAUGACAUGAUCUUUGAUUGUGUCCUAUUUUACAAAGCGUCAAACAAUAUUUAUAAGGCUUAACUUGAACAACAACUAAAAAGUUAAUCUGCAAUGAUAAUACAAGUUGUUACCUGGUUGACCACAAUGUCCACAAGUCAUGACUGCUCCAGUCUUUCCAAGCGUAGUUCUUGUUGAAUUGUCUUCCUUCUCGAAAGGAUCUUUUAUCCGUACUUUCCUUGGCCUUCCUGGUUGCCUAGUAUAAGAAGGUGGAACUGGAGCUGGAUAAUCUGUUCUUGGCCACAUCAUCUCACCAUUAAUUGGGUUGAUAAGGUUGUUAUAAGCCUUGAAAUAAGUCUCUGUUAACAACAUUUUAUCAACAAAGGUGUCUAUUGACAUUCCACCCAUGUAGUGUAUUGAAGCGAUUGCAUGCUUGCAAGGAAUACCUCCUAAUUGCCAUUUCCUGCACUCACACAUUGAUUGCUCCAAGUUAACAACAAAUUGUUCACCUGGACCCUUCACUUGAUAUUUAGGUCCUCCUGACCAUUCAACUGUCAACGCACCAGCUAGCACUUUUCUAUGCUCAAUCUUUUUGAAUACUUUAGGACACACUUUGUGAGGCCAUUUCUUCAUCUUAUCCCUCCUUGUAUCAAAAGACACCUGAUCAACUCAAGCAUAGUGAUAAUUGGUUUAUCUCUAGCUGGAAGGAUAGUCUUGUUAAGGGACUCACACAUAUUGUUCAUUAGCAUGUCACACUUAACAUAAGUUCGAAAGUGUGAUUUUGACCAAUACUCUGCUGGGAACUUAACCAACCAAUCAAAUGCAGCUUUGCUCAAGACCUUGAGUUCAUCCAUGUGUUUUUUAAACCAAGGCUGUGUAGUAGACUUUGCAGCUGCCCACAGUUUGUCUUUUAGCACUUUCCCUCGAAACUUUGAUCUAAAGUUUGUAUAAAGAUGCCUUGUACAGAAGCGAUGCUCAGUAUUGGGAAGUACAUCAUUAAACGCACCAGGAAGUCCUUUCUGUUUGUCUGAAAUGAAAGUCCAACCAUAUUGGUUUACAAUGUUCAAAUCAUGCACCAAUAGCUCAAGAAACCAUGUCCAGGAAUCCCUUGAUUCCAACUCUACUACUGCAUAUCCUAUGACCCAUGUUUCAUUAUUAGCAUCAAUGCCACAAGCAGUUAGUAAUUGUCCUCCAUAAACUCCUUUCAAAUGGCAACCAUCUAACCCAACCAAACAUCUACAACCUUCUUUGAACCCUUUCUUACAAGCUUCCAAACAUAUGUACAACCUUUUGAACUUUGGAUAGCCAUCAACGAAGUCACAUUGCAUUUUAGUUGUAGUGCCAGGAUUAGUCCUCUUCAACUCUUCACAAUAAUCCCAAAGCCUAUCAUAUUGCUUUUUCAGGGUUCCUUCUAUUUCAUCGAUUGCUUGUCUUUUCGCUCUAUAUGCUUUCAUGUUAGAAAUCCCAACAGUCCACUCAUCAGAGGCAGCAUCUACUAUUGCUUUUACAGGCAUAUUUGGAUCUGAUUGUAGUCUCUUUCUGAACUUUUUUGCUAACCAAUCUGCUGUACAAGUGCGAUUAUUAUAAACCCUUAAACAAGAAUACUCUCCAACAUAUUUUUUGACCUGCAAUGUAUAAUCAUUAGAAGCUCUCUUUCCAGCAUAAAUUAGCCAAGGGCAGAAUUCGCCUUUGCAUAAAACCUUCAGCUUAAAUUCCUCAUUUCUCUUCCAUCUCAUCUCAUAACCGUGCAACAUUGCAUACUCUCGAAUGGCUGCUCUGAAAACAUGACAAUCACUAAAUAACAUCCCUAACUCAAACUGAGGGUCCUUCAUAUCAGUUUCAGGGUUAAACUUUGGCUCCCUUUUUCCCCCAGAAUUAUUUUCAUCAUCAGAGUCAUGGAUGCUUCUUAGUUCCUCAUUUGAAAGAUGGUCUUCUUCCUCUUCUACAUCUUUCAAUUGAAAAUUAUUCAUUACCAUAUCCUAACUUUCAGGUUCCAUGCUAUGACUAAAAUUAUUUGUAAUAUUUGCAUCACUCCCCCACAAGUAGUUUCACCAUCAUUAGCACAUGCAUUGACAUGAGCACUUCCACCAUCUUUGCCACUAGCUUGAACAUCAAUACCACUUGUUAUGCCAUCACUAUAACCAACCUCUUCAUAAUCAUCAUCCCCACUGUAAUCACUAUCAACAAAAUCAGCUUCAGGAUGAUAAUCUCCCUCUAAAUUUUCGUUGUCAUUGUCAUCCUUCUCAUUAGCUAGUUCAGCAUGCAUUAAAUCACAAGCAUUGUCAUCUUCAUCUAAGUGAUCUAAUCCUAACUCCUCAGUCACAAUAUUUUUUCUAUUUCUAACUCCCACAUUAGAACUUUUACUAAGGUCUAUUCCAAAGUCAUUGAGAUCCCACCCUAAGUUAGUAACAUCACAAGGAGCAGAGUCUAGUAUAUGCUCCAAGUACACUUCAAUUAUCCUCACAUCUGGCACAAAAGCCACCAUAUCAAGAACAUCAUCAUCCCUUUUUAACAGAGUCAUGGCAGCUCCAAUUCCCGUCCCGGGCAACUUAUACCAAUAAUUUAUUAUGCCAUGAUGACCUAAUUCUUUUGCCAUUGCAAUAAUCUCACACAUAGACAUAUUAUCCUUGUCACAAUAGUCAAAGUGAGCAAUAUGUCCAUUUACAUAGCUCAGCGGUAGCAUAUCGCCAUUGUGAUACAUUCUAAUCGUGAAUUUAUCCGGAUCAACUGCAACAUUGAAAGCAUAACUCAAUUCUCUAAUUCUUUAAGUAGUAUAGAAAGUGUAGAUUAUAUUGUUAUAAAUAUAUAUCCAUCACGCCAUAACACAAACUUAGUAGCAAUAUAAACAAGUCCUCAUGGUUUUUUAAUAAAUGAACAAUCCCAGAGAGAGAAUUGAAAACUCACCAUAACUUUGUUCAUCAAAAUAUCCAGUCCUCAAUGCCCAAGCCAUCAAAUCAACAAAGUCAAGCACAAUACCUUCGCAGCAAAGAGAGAUUCAAGGAAGUAUUCUUCGAUCCCUACCUUGAUCCUCACUUUACAAACACAAUUUCAAAAACUGAAAAGAACGUUUCCCAUUGCACGUACGCGUGAAUUGUAACAAGAACGGCAAAGAAAACGUGCAAACUAAAUGGAAAGGGCUGACAGUUUAGGGUUAAGGGUUUAGCGGGAAUAAAUUUUUGGGUGGUCUAAAAUACCCUUGCUGACAGGUCCAGUCAGUAAGAAUUGACACAUCACACAUGUCACGUAGACAAGUUAACGGUUCGUUUAACGGAAUAUAUAACGGAAUUGAAACUUUGUAGGAUUUUGCAUAGCUCGAGUAUUUAUUUGAAAGAAUAUGAAGAUGGGGUAUUUAUUUGAAAUGAGCUUUAAAGUUCGGGUAUUUUUUUGUAGUUUACCCUUUUCUUUUUUACCAUAUAAGAUUUUUAACCCAUAUAAUUUUCCGUCAUUGAUGUUGAGCUCUAAGAUUCCGACGACGACGACGGCGGACAUAUCCAGUGAGAGAGAGAGAGAGAGAGAGAGAGAGAGUAGAGAGUUAAUUUUAAGUUUUGCAGUUGGAUUUUACAGGGCUUCUCCUCAAAUCUACAUCAUUUUUUCUCUAUAGUGCUGGGUUUUGUAAAGUUUUAGUUCUCAUUUGCUUUCGAGGAUUUUGAUUUCUGGCUUUGUUUAUCAUGAUCAGCUUGAUGACGCAUUUAAUGUCGUGUUUCAUGAGGGCAUCUCCAACAAUGCCCCCAAAACUCAUACCCAUAGUCAAAACUCAAAAGAUUUUGUCUCCAACCAUUGAAACCCAUACCCAUAUAUGGGUUCCUACUAACCAAUUGACCCAUUUUGGGUCGGAAGCUAAGGAGGAAACCCAUAACUGAAAGGCAGGACCCUGGCGUUGUGCAAGCACGUGAAGCAACUGGAAAGACAAGUGGAUCCCCCACUUGCAAUUGCAGUAUUGUUGUGGGCUUCAACAAUAACAAAAUGACGGCUCAGAUUGUGAGUUUUUGGAAACCAAAGGCUUAGAUUAAUUCAUACUUAAAUAGAAAAAUUGAUGUAUAAUUAUUAAACUUUUAAUCUGACGACCCUAAAUAUUUGAUGGAUUAAAUUAAAUGGUUAAUAUUAUAUGAGUAUGAGUAUGAGUUUUAAUGGUUGAAGAUGAAAUAUGAGUAUGAAUAGUAAUAGGUAUGGGUGACUCAAAAUAUAGGUAUAGGUAUGGGUAUAGAAAGAAUUGUUGGAGAUGCCUGAUUGAUCAGGAAACCAACUUG